rnacentral:lncRNA from 1 species
AUCCAUUGAUUAAUUAUUUAUUCAAAAUUCCUUGCUCAAUAGAAACGCAAGAAUUUAUCUUACGAAGUUGAUCUUGGUAUUAAGAUAUAAUAUCUCAUCUAUAUUGAUAUAGUAGAACGGAUAAGGUGAUGUAAUUAACUAAACAUUACAUCAUAUUACAGAAACACGCUUGUCGUGUACCUACAAACUUAUCUCUUAAACAAAGUCAAAAAACACACUAAAAAAUUGAGCAAACCAUAUUCGUACUAUUAUUAAGAUUUUAACUAAAAACUUUAAGCUGCCGGAGCAAAAUCAUAAUCGUCGUCAUCAUCGUCAUCUCCAUCACCGUCUACGGAUGCAGAUGGAACAUGAUCAUAGCUGUUACCACCUUGGACCAAUGACUUUGAGUUAGAAACAUAUCCAUCACGACGACCUUUGUCAUCAUGCACAUCAUCAUUCAUGAUGUUCUUUGAGCUGCUUCCGAUCUUUUUAAUAUUAUCCUCGUCAUGCAUGACACACUUUGAGCUACUCAUGAUCGGAAUAUAAAAGUAGUGUUGUUUUCUCUUCUUCUUGAAGGGAACUUUGACUUGUAAGAAACAAAGGAGACUUUGGUUUGCUUGAGGAAUGAGGGAGAGGGCAAGAGUACUUAUAUAGGGAGAAACAUAAGGAUGUCCCGUGCGGGGUCGUGGCAGAAGAAAUUUGGAGCGUGUGAAGCUUGUGACAAAAAGUGCCACGUAAAAUCCUACGUGGCUUUAUUGCAAAACAAGUUUACAAAAUGCAAGAAAACGGUUGAUUCUGUGUGGUGUUGAUACAAGUGAAAGCUACUUUAGGCUUUUAUUCGCGAGGAUAGUAGCGGAGGGAAAGUGGUAAAGGUAAUGUCGGAUGGUGCAAAUGAAAUCUUUAGCAUUUGUAGACAUGAAAAGUCCUUUACUUUUGUGGUUAAGUAUCAUUCCACCGAACUUGUCCGUUUUCCAAUCUGAAACCUUGGCAAAUCUCCGGCCUCAAAAUUAGCUUUCUCCAUUUUUUUAUUUAGUUAUAUUAAUAUUUUGUCCGUGCGUAAUUAUGAGGUAAAAUUUUUUAUUUACAUUAGAAAUAUUUAUUUUUUGACAUAUUUUAAUAUAUAUUAGUAUAAAUAUAACUAUAUAAUUUUUAUAAUAAAGGUAAUUUUAAUAAAAAAUUAAAUUAAAAUUAAGAAAAUUAAAUAUAUUAAAAGUAAUUAUUUAUAAAUCACAUAAUUUUAUGUCAUAAACGUACUUAUGGAUAUAAUUGAUAUAUUUUUUAUUUUUUAAAAUCAUAUUUUAUUUUUUACCUUAACAUAUGUUAGUAUUCAUGUUAUCAAAAAAUGUAUUAAUAGUCAUGUUAUCAAAUUUUUUCAAGGAUAAUAGUGUAAUCUUGAAAUAAAAUCAUCAUUCAAAACAUAAUACUAUAAAUAAAAUUAUUUUCAAUUUUUAAUAAAAAAUCAUAACUUUUUAUGAUGCUUUAAUUAUAUUUAUGCAAAUAAAUAUGUAUAAACAUGUUAUAUUUGUAAUAUGGCAUUGAACAAAUGCAGAUUUUAAAAUCAUUCAAAACAUCAUAUAUAAAUUAUUAACACUAAUUGACACUAAUUGAAUUUUUUUUUACCACACUAAUCAUAUUAUUAUUGCAGUAAUUAUUAAUUUAUUCAUUAUUUUUCAAUAAAAUUAUUAUUUAAUCAAUUACAUAACCAUUUUUGUACGAAUUAUACCUUAAACACCUUUUUUGAAAUUGAUUUUGAGUCUAGGCUUAAAAUUAGUGAUUUGAGUCAAAUCAGUCGGGCUUUCUUAGCAUGGCCCAAAAGACUUCUUCCUCCCUUAUUUUCUUUUUCUUUUUUCUAUUCCAGCGGCCCAUUUCGAGGCUUAUAUUCAUGUCACAGGGUCUACCCUUUCCUCAAAGGAUUAAUAUGAUAUGAUGUGUACGGUCAAGUUUUUUCAAUUGUAGGUUAAUUUGAUGAAGUAUGCAACAUCAAAAUCUUUUUAUUAUUUGAUAUGAGAUUGAAACAUUUUAUUUAUUUUUUUAAAACACUUAUCAUGACAUUCUUUUCCAUUUAAUUUAGUGAUACUUUUAUUAUUGUCAACCACCUCACUAGCUUCCUUAUCUAAAAGUUUUUUGAGCAGGUCGUUGUAUUCUCCUCCAUCCAAUUUAGUGAUACCUUAGUCAUUGUUGGUCAUUCUAUUAGCCUCCCUAUCUAAAGGUGCUUGGUAUUACAAUCCUCGUGUGAACGUGAAUCCCACAUCGUCGAGAUAAUGCUCUCAAUAGAUUGAGCCAUAAAAUCUCACAUCGAAUAAAAACUUUUAACGAAAAGUAAAGGAGGAUGUCAUGGUCUUAGAUAAGGGAGUCAUAAAUCUCACAUCAGCUUUAUACUCGAGUGAUUCUGAGAAUAUAAAAAUUCAUAUUCUCUUCAACUCAUGAGAUGCCUUUUGUGGAACACAAUCGUGAGACAAGUGGACCAAAAUAGACAAUACUUCACAAGAGUUGACACUUGGUAUAGGUCGAGUUUAAGUUAAUUAAGUUUGUUUUUAUAUCACUUUGUCACUUGAUAAGAUGUGCAAUGUCCAUACUUAAUAAAUUUUCUAAGAUCCUUUUACUUAUUUGAUGUGAAAUUGAAACACUCUACUUAUUUUUUUUUGAAGUGUUUGAUGUGACAUUUAAACCUAACAAAAAAAAAACCCUAAAUUCUUAUUUCACCUCACUUCUUUCUCUUUUCCAAGAUCCUCCUAUUUACGAGAUGUGAAAUUGAAGCACUUUACUUACUUUCUUUUAAGUGCUUAGUAUGACAUUUAAACCUAACAAAAGAAAAACCUUAAUGGCACGUUUGGUUCACGGAAUAAAUAAUAAUGAAAUAGAAUAGUUAUUACGUGGGAAUAGAAUGAGGUGGGAAUAACAUAUAAAUAGAUAUUACGUAGUUUGGUAUGAUGAAUGGAAUAGAGUAGGAAUAAUUAUUAUGACUUAUUACAGUGUUUGGUUGGUAACAAUAACUUUAGAAUAGGAAAGGAAUAGAAAAUAAAAAAACAAAAAUACCCUUUAUUAUAUUUAUUUAUUUAUUUUUUAAAUAUUAAUAAUUUAUAAUUAAUUAAAAUAUUAAUAAUAUAAUUUUUAAUAUCAAUAUUUUAAUAUAAUUUAAUUACUAAUAUUUUAAUUAAUAAUAUUUAAUGUCAUAUCAUCUACCACGUGGCAUAUGACAUGGUANUUAAUAUUUAAUAUUUUAAUCAUAUUAAUAUUAAUAAUGUUUAAAUUAUAUAUAAAAUAUUAAUAUUUUAAAUUUUAUAAAUAAUUUAUUCUUUUUAUUCUAUUUUUUUCCUUUUUCUUUUUCAUGGGCCGGUCGUCGGAAAGGCGAUCGGUGUAACAAAACGCCGAUCUGGAGUACCAUGUGACCGGAUCUGGCCACUACGACGCCAGAUCGGCGCUUCCCCGCGGCUGGAUCUGGCCGUGGAGUACCAGAUCCAACCGUGGGAUCUGGUCAGAAGCACCAGAUCCGGUGCUUCCAGCUGUCAGAUCUGGCCGUUAAGUGCCAAAUCUGGCUGAAUUUCCGUUUGAAUCUUGUCCGACCAUAUUUGGUCAUAAAAUCGUCGUCGCUUCCGCUGCCGUCACCGUCGCCACUAACAUCAUCUUCGGCGUUGAUGCCACUUAGAGAGAGAAUAAGAGAGGAAAGAACAUGAGAAGAGAGAGAAAGAAUAAGGGAAAAUGAGAAAAAAAAAAUAUAUAUAUAUAUAGGUCUAGGGUUGUAAUAUUUUUAAAUGAUAAGGGGCAUUUUAAUCUUAUCAUAAUUCAGAGCUAUUCCCAUGGUCACGGAAUAGUAAAAACCAUGGGGAACUUCGGGUUUAACUAUGCCUGAGUUUUACCCCUUUUGAGAGAAUAGCUAUUACUAGGUAAUAGCUAUUCUUUGUGAUAUUGCCAUACCAAACGGAGCUAAGUUAUUCCCUUGGGAAUAGACAAGGAAUAGCUUAGUUAUUCAUUGUACCAAACGUGCAGUAAGUUCUCAUUUCUUCUCACUUUUUUCUCUUUUCCAAGAUCCUCUUACGUACUAAAUGUAAAAUUGAAACACUCUACUUACCUUCUUUAAAGUACUUAAUGUUUUAAACUUAAAAAAAAAAAACCCCUAAGUUCUCAUUUCUCUUCACUUUUUUCUCUCUCACCAAUCGCCCCUUUCUUCUCUCUCAAACCUUUCUAUUGCUAAUGAUGGCCAUCACCUCUUCGUUACCAACAAGGUUCCCUUUCUCUCUCCCUUUUCCUUCCUUUUUUAUUCUCUUCUUUUUCCUUGAUUUCAACUUCUCACUUUAACUCUCUUUAUUAUGAUAUGCUUAUAUAACAUUUAUUCAUAGUAUAUAUAUUAAGAAAAUAUAAUUGAUGAUAAUAUGUUAAAUAUAAAUAUAUUAUUUUCAGAUAAUUUCAUGAUAAAUGUAUAUAUAUAAUUUUAUUUAAAAAAAUUAAAAAAAUUAUAAAUAAAUAUAUAUAUCAAUAAUAACUAUAUUAAGUACUUGAAUAUUUAAUUCAUUAAUUAAUACAUAAUUUUUUAUAUAAAAAAUAAAAUUUAUAUAUUUUUCUCUUAAUUAUUAAAAAAAUUCAAAAUACGAAAAAAUGCUCGAUGCAUCAUUUUUUAAGGAGAAAAAAAAAAGUAGAGGUUAGACAGUUCCGUUGGGCGAAUGGCUCACCCAAGGCCCAAGCUCAACUUGAUGAACACGUGUUUCAAUAUACUUUUAAUGGGGGAUGAGCUUGGACGAAGACACGUACGUUCCAUAAAUUUUUGGGUCGAGCCCAGGCUUAAUUUGCCCUUAUACUAUUACUUAUAGAUUUAUUAAAGGUAACUUUUGACAAGGGUCCCUCAAAGUCAAAGGCCGGAACCAACAGCAACCAAUCAUUUUCCUGGCUAACGUUAACCGUUUCCCUCAACUUCAAACCAAAGGACAUCGCUAGCCACGUAAACUUAAGCAACAACACUCAUUUUGAACUUAGGAACUCAAACCACUCGAUAUGGCUACCGCUCAACUUUCAACUCAAAUUCUCCGGCCCAUCCCCGCCGCUUGCGUCAGUUUCCGACAAGUUACCACCACCGGACUCCCUUCUACAUCUCCUUCUCCUUCUACAACAAUCUUCAAAACAAGAAAGGAAGCCAUUACAACGAAUCAAAAGUUGAAGUGGGCACGUAGACUAAGCCUCGUGGAUCAAAGCAGCCCGACAAAGCCAACUGUUGAUGUUGAAGGGUUAGUUAGUUUCUUGUAUGAUGAUCUUCCUCAUUUGUUUGAUGAUCAAGGGAUUGAUCGGACGGCAUAUGACGAGCAAGUCACGUUCAGGGACCCAAUAACAAAGCAUGAUUCAAUAAGCGGUUACUUGUUUAACAUUUCUUUGCUGAAGGUACUCUUUAGGCCUCUGUUUCAAUUGCACUGGGUCAAGCAGGUUCGAUUCACUAUGAACUUUUUCUUUCUAAUGUAAAUUUUGAUAGUGUAACAACUUCUUUUACUUUGGGUAUUUGCUUAUUUGACUGGUUGAGUUGGUAUAGACAGGACCUUAUGAGAUAACAACAAGGUGGACUAUGGGGAUGAAAUUCAUGCUUUUGCCAUGGAAGCCUGAACUGGCCUUCACUGGAACUUCUGUAAUGGGCAUCAAUCCAAAGAAUGGAAAGUUUUGUAGCCAUUUGGUGAGGUUUAGUUCUCUAAAUUAACAAUUCUUCUUUUGAUAACUUUAGUAAUAUUUGAGAAAAAUAUUUUAGUUUGUGUGUUCUAUUAUACUUGUAGGACUUUUGGGAUUCCAUAGAGAACAAUGAUUAUUUUUCGCUGGAAGGUUUAUGGGAUGUGUUUAGGCAGGUAUGGUUCUUUAAUUAUUUGAUAAAUGAUUAGUCAUUUGCUGCAAAAUGACAUUUAAUGGCCAUAAAUUUGUGUAUCUGCCCCAUCUUACAUAUGGAAUGUUAUUUGUUAUUUCAUUUCUUUUUUGCAGUUGCGGAUUUAUAAGACCCCUGACUUGGAGACACCGAGGUAUCAGAUACUGAAGAGGACAGCAAAUUAUGAGGUCGAAUUAUUCUUUUUUUUUCUUUUAAUUUUUGGAAUAAAGUCAGUUGUGCAUCCAUGAACUAUUGCUCUUCCUGGUACAUGCUAUGGCCAAAACAAAAUGUUUUGCCCAGCAAUCGUGCGCUGGCAGCUGGGCAGACAAACUCAUUUCGUUCUGGUUUUGUAACAAUAAAGGCAUAAGCCUUUAAUUUGGAAAAUGUGAAUGAAAAAUGGGAAAUGUAUUUGGUAAACUUGACUCAUUAUCAAGUAGGAUCAUUAGAGAAAAUUUGUAUUGAUGAUGUAGUAUUAAUACUCUACUUCUGGAUUCUGUUUGUAAUGUGUAUUCAUUUAACAUUGGGGUUUUAAUAAUAUGGACUUCGUAUACUUUUAUACAUUUUCCUGUCAUACUAUUGUCAUCAGUUUCUUAUAAAGGUCUUUUCUGUCUAAAGCAAAUUGCUGCACUUUAUACACAGCUUUUAUAUUAGCUAGAAUGACUCCUUUAACUAGUGUUUCCUGUUGCAUUUUUUGAGAAAAUGUAAUUUGUUUGAAUAUCUGGUAAUUGCGUCAGUAACACUUAGAUGUUAUGCAGGUAAGGAAAUAUACACCAUUCAUAGUGGUAGAAACAGAUGGAGACAAACUGUCAGGGUCAACUGGCUUUAAUACUGUUGCUGGGUAAGUGUCUUUUAGUCGUCUGGGAUCCAAUUCAUUAUGUUGGUUUCAAUUCUAAUUUUUCCUUUUUCUUUCUCACCUGAUGUGGUUGAUGGGUUCCAUUGGAGCAGGUAUAUCUUUGGUAAGAAUUCUACAAUGGAGAAGAUACCAAUGACUACUCCUGUCUUCACCCAGGCACUUGAUCCUGAAUUAUCUGAGGUAUCCAUCCAAAUUGUUCUUCCAUUGGAGAAAGAUAUAAGCAGGUGAGUCUUGUCAGUCUAGUUGAGGUCUGAAGCAUCAACAGGCAGUUUCAUAACACCAAAAUGGAUAAAGAAAAAAAUAAUGUUUUUUUAAUACUCACAUGCUUUGAUUGAGCAACUAAUCAGUGUAUUUGUACCUCAACAGUUUGCCAAAUCCUAGUCAAGAAACAGUUAACUUGAGAAAGGUGGAAGGAGGGAUUGCUGCAGCAUUGAAGUUCAGUGGAAAACCUACAGAGGAGGUUGUUCGUGAGAAAGAGAAAGCAUUGCGCUCUAGUCUUAUUAGAGACGGUCUUAAACCUAAGAAGGGUUGUUUGCUUGCCCGCUACAAUGAUCCAGGCCGAACGUGGAGCUUUACAAUGGUAUGAUUUGGCUUUUCCUUAUCACUUGCAAGGUUUCACUCCAUGCUUAGCACGCAAAAGGGAUUUUACUUCAGGCAAUUGUGCAUUUCACAUCUGACAAAUUUUUUGCAUCACCUUAACAUCGCUCAUAGUAACUGUUGUUGGCUAUACUGAUAAAUUAGUAACUGCAUAUUACAAAUUUUGUACACAUUAUAUUCACAGCCUUGAGGCCCUCGACCCACCAAAUGGAAUAUUAUAGCAAUCAAACGUAAGAAUACAUAACUGUCUGUAAUCGCUGAGAAAGGCAACACACAUUUCCAUUGUGAAAAACAUGGACUUAUAAAAAUAGAAGACAUUGCCAGAAGUCCAUUGUUUUUAUCUGAUAUUUUGUUUUGUUUCCUUGGAUAAAAACAAACUAGAAGUGAUACUCACCAACUUCAUACAUCUGGAGUCAAAUUCCAUGUAGUUACUAAAUUUAGCCAUGAAUUUUCUAUUUUGACGAGUUUGGUUUCCAUUAAUUUAUUCUUCUUUUACCCAGUAUGCCAUGCUUUGUAAGCAGCAUUGUUCUGUUUGCUUCUUUUAAUGCAAUUUGAUGGUUCUUUAAUUGGUUCUAGAACUAGCUUGGGGAUGGUAGCUAGGCAGUAGCUAGUUUUCUAUGCCGGCUGACUUGUUAGGACUGCAAUGUUGAUGAUGCCAUCUAUACAAUGCCAGAUCCUUCCUUAACUAAUUGUUAGUUAGUAUUACUUUAUUAUCUGUUUUAAUCAUCUUAGUUAUUGACUCCAUUCUCUAUGUUCUUUCUUUGGGUGACUACAUCGAAGAGAAAUGAAGUGCUAAUUUGGCUUGAGGAAUUCACUUUGGAUUAGCAAGAUUACUCCUUGCAAAUCAUUCUUUCCGGUUUUGAAUUGACCAGUGACACUUUCUUGGAUGUUGUAAUUAAGGGAACAGUAUAGGCUUUCCUUGGCUAAAACACAUAUGGAAUGUAAAGCAUUUUGUUCUUGCUAAAGGUCAUGGUCUCAUGGAUGCAGCAAUUUGUUUAUUCAAAAAUGUUCAAAGCUCAGCACCAUCAACAGUCAAUACCAGGGGACAGUUAAGAACUUAAGAUCCAGUAAUACGAUCUCCGGCAGCGGAGCCUCUGCUUUAGGUCACAAUGUAAAAGGAAUGGAGGAGUUGCAGGAAAAAUCUAAUUACGGUUUGUGAAGUUUGCAGUAUGCCUACUCAAUUACAAGCUGAAGCAAUAGUAGCUAAUGGUCCUAAUCAUGUGGACGAUUAAUUUUAAUUCAUUGAAUUUCUAAAGUCAGAUAAUUAAAUGCUAUUGAAAUUCAUUUAAAAUGCUAUAUUGUGCCUUAUUGCAUGGAAGAAAAUUUAAGGUCGUACCAACAUGAUAGUGAACUAUUGCCUUAAGCGCCUGCAUGAAGCUGAACUCUGAAGCACAUUCUCAUGCCUGAGAUAGCAAGCAUGCCUCUUUUGUGUCGAAAACAGCUAGGCAUGGACCCUGAAGAAUAUUACAGCCAUGAACCAAGGAGACAAAAGAAUGGAAAUCAUGUGACUUCCAGUUGGUAUGCAUGUGACCAAAAUCAAACCUCGGGGAAAUUGCCAUCGGUUUUGCCACCUGGAAAAUCAACUGUAGAGCAGUGCUAAAUGAGCUUGAAGAAAGAUGUUUUUGCUUGGCAUUAGCAUGCAACUUUUAGCUCAAAUUCUAUGCACCUUCAUCUUCAGUCUCAGCCUCAAGGUCUCGGCUUUGUCAUUGUGUUUGUAAAAUUUGAACAGUUGAACCAUUUCGAGUAGCUGAUCAACUGGAAACCAGUCAACCAUCCGAUUUGAUUUAACUUUCUUUCCCAAUAUAAUGAAAAGGUUUAUAAACUAAAAGCGUCCAGCCAUGAGACCGAAGAACAUUAGUAUAAUAAUAAUAUUUGAGUAUUUUACAUAAUUUAAUUUUUUUUGUAGUAAUUUAUGAAAUAAAUUAUCAUGCACUUAAAUAGGUUCUGUUUGAUGCUUGCUUUUGUUUAUUUUCGUCUUGGUGCAUUAUUUUAUUUAUUUUUCCUUCCUCAAAAGUUGUCAAAUAUAUAUAUAUAUAUAUAUAUAUAUAUAUAUAUAUAUAUAUAUAUAUAUAUAUAUAUNNNNNNNNNNNNNNNNNNNNNNNNNNNNNNNNNNNNNNNNNNNNNNNNNNNNNNNNNNNNNNNNNNNNNNNNNNNNNNNNNNNNNNNNNNNNNNNNNNNNNNNNNNNNNNNNNNNNNNNNNNNNNNNNNNNNNNNNNNNNNNNNNNNNNNNNNNNNNNNNNNNNNNNNNNNNNNNNNNNNNNNNNNNNNNNNNNNNNNNNNNNNNNNNNNNNNNNNNNNNNNNNNNNNNNNNNNNNNNNNNNNNNNNNNNNNNNNNNNNNNNNNNNNNNNNNNNNNNNNNNNNAUCGAAUACUCCACAGUCCACCCACCCUACAUAUAAGUGUCUUCCACUCACAAAAGAUUUGAUCUAGGCUUUUACUACUGGCAGGUAAAUGUCCACAUGAAAAUGUUCCAUAAAUAGAAACCAACAUGUGGUCCUAAGAUGUGCUAUCAUUGGCUUUCGCUUCACAAAAAAAAAAAAAUUGAAAAAUACUACAAAUGCUUUAACUGUAGUUUUAACUACUAUAUAUAUAUAUAUAUAUAUAUUGAUUCUGUUCUACAGAAAGUUCUUCUUCAAUCCCGCGUAUUCAUGUUUGAAAAAAUGGUCUCAUGACAGUUGUAGUAGGAUUUAGAUGAAAUUACAUGGAUUUUAAAUGAUAUUUCAAAUAUUUCAUUUGAAAUGUCGUGUCAAAAUGAACUCAAACUUGAAGGAUGAGUCCAUACUUCCUAAAGGUCCUUUGUUUUCCUUUUUAAUUUUUCAAAUUGCUUUUUUAAAUGCUAGUUGAUUUUUCUUUUUUUUUUUCAUUGGUCUUAUUUAGACUUGAAAAUUUUGACAACACGAUAUGAAUUUAAUAAGGUUUAAGUUUAGCACAAUUGCGUUAAACUCACUUAAUUCAUUUAAAAUAUAUUUACAACAUGGUUAAUUAAUUAUAUUAUUUGUACUCGUAUAAUCUGUCUUUUCUUCUUGAAUGCCACAUGUUCAUAUUUGAAAACAAUAACCUCAUGACAGCUGUAGUAGGAUUUGGAUGACAUUACAUGAAUUUUAAAAGGAAUUUCAAAUAUUUCAUUUGAAAUGCAUAGUUAAAUUUAACUCAAACCUGAAAGAUAAGUUCAUACUUCUCCAAAAUUCUUUUUUUUAUUAUUUUAAUUUUCCAAUUUGGUUUUUUGAAUGUUAUUUGAUUUUUUAUUUUUGUUAAUUAUUGGUCUUGCUUAGACUUCACAAUUUGUAUACAUCAUGAUAUGAAUUUAAGCGAGUUUAUGUUUAGGGUCAUCGUAUUUCGUAUAUUAAUCUUAUCAACAUGAUUAAGGCACAAAUAAAUCGCAUCUUAAUCAUUUUAUAAUCAGGUCAAACCCAUUUACUUUAUUAUUUAUCCACAUAUCCUGUGAUUUGUUUAUUAUCUAUUUAUUUAGUCGUGUUCAUGUAUUGAGUAGAUACAUUUAGUAUACAGUUAAUAUCUGUUUAUUAAUUCAUAUAAAUACUAAUAUUUUUAUGAUGAUUAAGAUUUAUUGAUGUUAAUAAAUUUUACGAUAUUUUUUAUUUUUUGUUGUAAAUUUAAAAUGUAGAAUUAUUAUUUUAGUUUAAUUAAUUUAAUCAUGUUUUAAUCAUGUAAACAAAUUAUAAAUUAUAUAAAUUUUAACCAUGUAAACAAAUUAUGUUAUAUCGCAUAAAAUUUAAUCCAAUAUGUUUAAUAAACAUAUUAAUUAUGUUGUAUCAUGUUACACACUUAUUAAAUGUAUUCGUACACUUAUUUAAGCUCUAGAUAUAAUUAAUUAAUUAAUCAUGUUGUAUUUAGUUUUUGAUGUAUCUUUUUAAAAGAAUUAUACACAUAUAAACAUACAAAGUUAAUUAGAAAAGUAUCAAAAGAAAAUAUAUUUAAAAAAGAGAAAAAUAGAAAAUAAAGUUAAAAUUGAAUAAAAAAUAAUUUAGCACAAAUUUAAGAAAAGACAGUUCUGAGAUGAUAUCAACUCUAGCUAUUUGAAAAUAGAAAUCGAUCAUGUAUAACUAGUAAUUGUUUAGUUUUGAACUAAUUUUUCUUUUAAAGAAAAUUAUUUUAAUAUAAUAUCACUGGAGCUUUUAAGGUAUAUUUAAAAAUUAUUUAAAUUCCACCAACAGAUCAAAAGAUCAUCACAUAACUUUAUCGGGUAUAUUUUAAAAAAUUAAAAAAUUUAAUAUAGCAAAAUAAAAAACAUGUGCUAAUAUUUUUUUGUGAAAUUACAUGUCAUAAUAGUUUAAUUUCGUAUGUGAAGUAUAAAAAUUUCACUAUAUAUAGAAUAAUAAUAUUUUUUAAUUAGAUUCGUGGCCAUAAAGGAAAAAAAAAUUAUUUUGGCACAUUUUUGUAUAGAUAAUUUCUUUUUAUAUAUAAGCUUGAAAAUAAUUUUCUCUUAUUUAAUUAUUUUUUGUUUCCUUUUUUUUGUCACAAGCUGAAAUCUAAGUCUAACCUUGUGUAUUUUAAAUUCUAAAAAUAAAAUUUAAAUAAACAUAUAAAUUAUGAGUUUACGUUUUCAAUCAAAAAAAUAUAUUUAAUAAGUAGUAAAAAAUUUAUUUUUAUAUUCUUAAGACCCAGACAUUGCAAGAAUGUACUCUUACUUUUCUCAUACAAAAUGCUAUCUUAAUAGUUUUAAUUUAAAAGGUAUAGAUUAAAAUAUAUUUUUAAAAAAUAAAAAAAGGCAACCAUAUAAAUUAUGUAUAAUUGUGGAGAUAUGGUUAAAGACAUGAUUGCUUAUCAAUCAUUCAAAUUUUAUUUGUCCAAGAUAUGCAUGAAAUUGAUACCAACCACUCAUAAAAAAAAUGAAAAAAAAAACACACGCACACAGAAAUUCAAAUAUUUAUUUGAAUAGAGAAAUUAAUAUCUAUAUUCAUACAAAAAAAACAAUAAUAAGAAAAUUGACAAUUCAAAUAUGUGUGUACUAUUUUUCUAGAAGACUUGAGAAUGAAAAUUUUGAAUUCCACUUUAUUAUUUUUUGUCCUUUGGACCACUCACCAAAAAUAGAUAAAAAAAAUAAAAUAUUGCCGUCUGCCUUUUUUCUUUCUCUCUCUCUUAGCAUUUUCUAAAUUUAAAAGAGAUGGGAAGCAAAAGUGAUACUAUAGCCAGUUACCAAGAAACUGGCAGCAACGGGCUGAAACCAAGCGGAGCCGUCUGAUUGAAAACGACAACGUGUUUUUGGCCGUGAACCCCGAGAGAGAAUACGGUCAAACGUUUCCAAACCCCAGACGGCGCCGCCUCUUCAAUUCAAAACGCGUCCAUUACGCCACUUUCUUCGUCGGUUUUGUCAUCAUUUUCCCAUUUCCCUUCACUUUCCCUUUUUGUUUUUGGUUUAUUUUUCUAUUUUGGCAGAAACGGUUUUCAUUUUUUAUUUACAAUUGAUUAUUCGGUGCUUUUUAAGGUUUACUGUACUUGAUUCGUUUCAAAUUUUUUAAUAUCCGUUGAUCUCUCUUCUCUCUUUCAACGCACUUACGCGCCUCUUAUUUGUAGUCUUUUCUUUUAGCAUCUCUCUCCCUUCCUCUCUGUCUCCGUGGUAUUUCUUGAAUAGAUUCAAUUAUCAAGCGACCCUUUGGUGGCUUUUGGGGAUCAAGGUGAGAAUUUUUUUUUUAUUAAUUUCCAUUGACAGUUGAUUUUAUUUGUUUCAGUGUGAAAUGUGAUCUUGGUUUUUUUUGUAGGGUCUUUUAUCUGGCUAAUUGGUCUGAAUUAUUGGAAAAGUUUUGUCUUUUGAUGCAAAUUCUGGUCUGGGUUUUUAUGUUUUUCCCCACGAUCAGUUCUCACAACUAUGUACGAUUUAUGAAUUUGAUGUGGAACUCUGAUCCACGUUUGCAAAAUCCUAGUUAGAUUUGAUGUGAAACCUUUUUUUUUUAAAAGAAAAAGAGAUUUUAUGGUGACAGAAAUGGGGAAAAGGAGUAACUUAAUCAUUUCUUUGGCAAUGCAUGUUCUUUAUCAUUUUGAAUAUAGGUUUUAAGGUUUUUAGGGCUUUGAUACCAUAAAGUUUAUCUCUUAAAAGGGAGAAAAUUGGUAAGUAGGUGCUGUGUUUUUUUUUUUUUAGAAAAAAUGACCAUGUAGAAUUCUCUGAUUCAACUUUACCUUUGAAAAUCCAUCUUUUUACCUUCUUUUUGUCUGGCCGGCUCUGCACCUUGUUGGAUUAAAAUUGUCUCUUAUUAUAUCUCUUUUUUCACAUUUGAUCUGCUACAAUUAGUUCAAAUUUUUUUGCAGGGAAAAGAUGGCUGAGUCCAAACCGGAACAACCUUUGAUCCCAUCAUCAUCAUCAUCAUCAUCAUCAUCUCGAAACCUUCCUGAUUUUAAGAAAUCCGUUAAGCUAAAAUAUGUGAAGCUGGGAUACCAUUACCUAAUCACCCAUGGAAUGUACCUCUUCCUUUCCCCUCUUGUAGUUGUAAUAGCUGCACAGCUCUCAACAUUUUCUAUCCAGGACCUUUAUGAUCUUUGGGAGCAUCUUCAAUACAACCUCAUUUCUGUGAUCAUCUGCUCUACUCUUCUUGUUUUCCUAUCAACCCUCUACUUUCUAACUCGGCCCCGUCCUGUUUACCUUGUUAAUUUUGCUUGCUACAAACCAGAGGAAUCUCGGAAAUGCACAAAGAGGAUCUUCAUGGAUCAGUCUCGAAUGACUGGUACAUUUACAGAGGAGAAUCUCGAGUUUCAGCGUAAGAUCCUUGAAAGAUCUGGACUUGGGGAUUCAACUUACCUUCCAGAGGCAGUCCUCAAUAUUCCCCCUAACCCAUCAAUGCAAGAAGCUAGGAAAGAGGCAGAGGCUGUAAUGUUUGGUGCUAUUGAUGAACUUUUGGCUAAGACCGCUGUAAAACCCAAAGAUAUUGGAAUUUUAGUUGUAAAUUGUAGCUUGUUCAAUCCAACACCGUCAUUGUCUGCCAUGGUUAUCAACCAUUACAAGCUUCGAGGAAAUAUACAAAGUUACAAUUUGGGAGGAAUGGGCUGUAGUGCAGGUUUAAUUUCAAUAGAUCUUGCUAAAAAUCUUCUUCAAGUCCAUCCCAACUCCUAUGCAUUGGUUAUCAGCAUGGAGAACAUCACCUUGAACUGGUAUUUUGGGAAUGAUCGCUCAAAACUUGUUUCAAACUGCUUGUUUAGGAUGGGAGGCGCUGCAAUAUUGCUCUCAAACAAACGCUCUGACAGAAGAAGAUCCAAAUAUGAAUUGGUUCACACUGUGCGCACUCACAAGGGUGCUGAUGAUAAGUGCUUUUCCUGUGUUACCCAGGAAGAAGACUCUGCGGGGAAGGUUGGUGUUACAUUGUCAAAGGAUCUGAUGGCAGUUGCUGGUGAUGCUUUGAAGACCAACAUCACCACAUUGGGACCUCUGGUCUUGCCAAUGUCCGAGCAGCUGCUUUUCUUUGGUACAUUGGUUGGGAAGAAACUAUUUAAAAUGAAAGUUAAGCCAUACAUUCCAGAUUUCAAGCUAGCUUUUGAGCAUUUCUGCAUUCAUGCUGGAGGAAGAGCCGUUUUAGAUGAACUGGAGAAGAAUUUGCAGCUGUCUGAGUGGCACAUGGAACCAUCAAGAAUGACUCUUUACCGAUUUGGCAAUACCUCCAGCAGUUCUCUUUGGUAUGAAUUGGCUUAUUCAGAAGCUAAGGGUAGGAUUAGGAAGGGGGAUAGAACAUGGCAAAUAGCAUUUGGUUCCGGAUUCAAGUGUAACAGUGCAGUGUGGAAGGCUUUGAGGACAGUGAAUCCAGCUAAGGAGAAAAACCCAUGGAUGGAUGAGAUCGAUAGAUUCCCUGUUGAUGUCCCAAGGGUCUCAUCCAUCUAAAUUCAGGAAUCAGUUGCUGCGGGCUUCAUGUAAUGCUGUCUUACUUUUGUGAUUCAUCCUUUCCAUGACAGGAUGACUAGUAGUUUCAGCGCAUUGAGUGCAGGACAUCUUGCAUUUAUUAUCUAGUUUUUAGUUAUUUCAGGGCUGUACCAUUGUGCAGCUUGAGUGAGAUUAAUUCUUGGUGUAACAACUUUGGGAAUCAUUGAUUUUAUGGGAAUAUUACUGGCUCGUUUUACUAAGAUCAAUUUGCGUGGCUUUUAUGUUUCUCAUCCUAUGAUCCAGAUAGAAACUGGGAUUGGAAGUUGUAAAUAAUUUAAUUUUUGAGCAGUUAUUUAGACUGGUGCUUUUGAUCUUUACAUGGUAAGCAAUGGUUCACACACAUCGUGCGCUUGCUUAGUGGUUGACUGGCUGUGGUAUUCUGUUAGGGUGGCUCUAAUUGCAGUGCUAUGGAAGUAGCCACUCGUGGUUUUUUUUUUUUUGAAAAAUUCAAACCAAUCAAACAAACCAUAAAAUCAAGUCCAAGGCCCAUUUUUCCAAUCCAACUCAACGGCAGCUUCAUUGGACAUUCUACUUAUAGACCUAGUCAAGCCUAAAGCUGAAUCUCAAAAUAACGACUUCCAAACAAUACAUCAAUAACCCUAAAGCUGGUCAUAUAUGUUAACCAUGCAACAGCCACUAUGUCAAUCUGCUAAACAAUAUGCCAAUGUCAAUAUUGACAGCAUAUAUAUUGGAAAAGGAGAAGAAAUGAAAAAAAAAACAAACCAAGUCCAGCAGCUGAAAGAAGAUUAGGCAUAAGUAUCAACAAAUUAAUUAAACACAAUAAUGCAUGACCUAACUGUCAUAUCAGAACCUAACAAAUUUAUAAUUUUAGUCUCAGGCUCACACCAAGGAAAUGCAGCUCAGAUAGAGACUUGGCAAAUCUCUACAAGCAAUAGCCCAGUAUAGUCUAGUCCUUGGAUGACUUGUUAAUGAGUGACUUGUGGAUAUGCGGAAUCACACCACCGCCAGCAAUGGUUCCCUUGAUCAGGGUAUCAAGUUCCUCAUCACCACGGAUAGCAAGCUGCAAGUGUCUGGGGGUAAUACGUUUCACCUUAAGAUCCUUGCUUGCAUUUCCAGCCAACUCCAACACCUCUGCAGUCAAAUAUUCCAGGAUAGCAGCAGAAUAAACAGCAGCAGUGGCUCCUACUCUCCCAUGUGCGGUGGUCCUUGACUUUAGUAGACGGUGGAUCCGACCCACUGGGAACUGCAGGUUACACAUUAUAGCAAAAAUUCACAAACGAAGGAAACAUAGCAUGCAACUCCAACCUCUAAUGAUGUAAAAAGAAGCAAUUGGCGAGUAACAACUUAUAAAAGUGAUAUUAAUCAAAACAAAUAGAAAACAUACUCAAAAACAAUUGGCUAUGAGAUACCACUUCAGGUCCCAAAGAUUCAAAAUAGAUCAAGAGCAACACAGCAUAACCACAACAAAAGCACAUUCAAUUAUUUCAUGCCAGAUAUAAUUGGAGAAAUACUGAAGAUAAAUAGCAACUAUAAACUAUCUAUACCAUUAUACUCACUUGGCACAAGUGAACAACCUAUGGCAUGAACAGAUUUAUGGGACCUGGCGAUCCAAACAUCCCAAUACACUCCACCCAUAUCAAUGAAACUUUCAUGUGCCCGUUCAAUGACAACACACACACACACACACACACACCGUUCAUUAGAGGCUUUUUUCAAACUACAGUGACUGUUGAACCAGCUAAAUCACAUGCCAGAAAUCCAAGGUCCAUUUAUGAACUCCAGGCAUCUUGGAUGACUGAAACACGUGUUCAUUAAAUUGCUAGGAUAUUACAGACAAACAAUAACGAGCAAUAUCAUUUGGCUUUGACUGGCAUAGCAUCCCUUGGCAUCCUUGUGCCAAGGAGAAGGAUAUAUAAAAAAAAAAUUACACUACAAAUCCUCUUAUUGUCUAACCAGAAGGACGAAAAAUGAAAAAUAACAGUGGGCAACUUAGUCAUCAACUAUUAACCAUAGUUAAUGAAUUAAACACCAAAACCCAAAAGCCGGCACUAAAAACAGAUCCUACUAUAAUUAGUAAGUAGCUAGAUUAAUUCAUUAUUUCUUAUCAAAUCAUUAUCAGGUACUCAAAACAAAACCCCGCAAGAUUUAGAGGAUAAAUUCGUAUCCAUAAACAAAAGGGUCAAAACCCCAAAUAACAAAAAAAUAUUAAAAAAAUAUUACGAUAAGAACAAGGAAUUGGAAAGGACAAAAGAAAGAUCUACCUGGAGGCCCGCUCGAGAAGACCGAGAGAUGGGUUUUUUCUUGUCUUUGUCCUUGUUGGCAGCAGCGGAGGUUUUGCCCAUAAUCAAACCUUUCGCGCCUUUUCCAGACAUCUUUCCCGCCAAAAAUAAGAACGAACCCAAGAUAUUACAGAUAAAAUGGAAACGAAACACAGAAUUUUUGUGGGCAAACAACGGAAGACAAAGUUUGAGGUCUCGCAGAUAGGAAACAGAGAGAGCGUUUGGAAUCGGAACGGAAGGGAUACUUAUAGUGGAUUCUUUGACUGAAGUGACCCUAUUGUUUCUAUUAAAUUACGAUAAUGGUAAAUAUUAUUUUUUAAGAUAAAAUACCUCAUUUUAAUUUUUUAAUUAAAAUUACAUGAAAAUUUAUUAAUUUUUAAAAUAUAUAUUGUCUUAAAAAAAUAUUUUUUAUUAAACAAGUAGGUACAACUUUUAGUUAAUUAUUAAUAUUUUUAUUAAUUUGAUGACAUGAUAAAAAUAAAAAAAAUAAUUUUACUCUUAAUUAAUUUUUAAAAUUAUUAUUAUAUAAUUUUAUUAAUUUUUAUUAAUUAAAAAUAGCUCCCCAUCUGUAAAACCUGACCGAGGCUCCCGAGGGAGCACAACUAGGGCUCCCCUCUCUAUUGAUGCUCCCCUUUCUUGAGGAGCACUAAUCAGAGCUUUUUAUUUUUUUAAAAUAUUUUAAUAAAUUGUUAAUGUAAUAAAGAAAAAAAAUAUUUUAAUCUUUUCAUAAUAUGAUGUUUGCAUUCUUAGAGUAGAGUAUUUUAUUUUAAAAAUUAAUAAAUUUAUUUGAAAUUUCAAUUAAAAUUUAAGAGUGGAGUAUUAUUUUACCUUAUUUUUUAUCGAUUUAUUUCCAUUUAAUUAAUGUUAUUGUUUACUUUAGCCACCGGCCAUUGGUCUAUAAUAUAUACUGUAUGCAGGUUGACUCCUCAAAGUUAGUGACAUACCUUUGCAAAAAUUGAAUUUAUAGAAUAAAUAAAGUUUUGAUUUUGUAAGUUGAUUUUUUAUAUUUUGUGUUUUUUAAAUUAAAUAUAAUAAAAUUUCUAAAAAUGAAUAUUAAUCCGACCAUGAAAAUUUAUUAAUUAAUCAAUAUAUUAUUUUAUCGAUAAAUUAAUAAUUUAUUAAUUUAUACAUUAAUUAACAAAAAAAUUAAUUUAUCAAUAUAUUUUUUAUUUUUUUUAAAUAUUGAACUUAAUACAUGCAUUAUGUAUUGUGAUUACAUUAAUAUUACCUAAUUAUUGAAUUAUGAAUUAUCAUUAUUUAUAACGAGUAAAUUAUUAAAAACAUCAUAGGAAAUGACAAAAAAAAAAAGCUCAAGACUAUAGUUUUGUAUUGGAGUUUAUCUUAUGUAAAGAUACACUCAAAGUAACAAUCACAUUGUAUAAUUUAAUCUUAUAAUACGAGAAUACUAUAUUAAAGCUUCGUAACGCACUAAGAAAAGUUAGGGAUGAGAUAUAAGAAGAUAUCAAUUUAAAUAAAAAAACAACAUUUGAGUUAUAUUUUAUAAAAAAUUUUUAAAUAAAUUAUGCAUAAAUAUAAUUUGAUAUAUAAAGAGAUUAUUAAUUUAUAUAUCAAGUGGAACCUAUGUGUUUGUUUUAAAAUGUGUUAUCUUAUAAAUUUAACAAAUUAUUAAUUUAUCAUGUUGGUAUUAAUAGAGAUCAAUAAAAAAUAUUAUUUAAUUAAAAUUAUUAAUUUAUCGAGUGUUAAUUUAUAAAAAUUUUACUAUACUAUGAUUUUGUCUAACUUGUGCAGAUUAAGCUAGUACUUUAACUAUUUUUAAUAUUAAAUGCAUCAAAAUUUUAUAAGGCACAAGGGCUAAGUUUAUGCUAUUGAAUUAGAUGUUUCAAAGUGAUCGCAAGAUUACACGUUUUAGUGUUUAGAGAUCAUAAGCUAAGUAAGUGUACGUUGUUGUGACGAGUAUAUUACUUUUAUUUCUAAUUAAUAUUAGUAAAUUAAAAUGUUAUUGAGAUUAGAUUUAAGUAAACGCAUAUCUUGUUGACAUUUAAGUAGAUACAUUUAAUAAAGGAUUCUUUUUAAUUGACCAAAUUUUAUUUUAAAAAUGUAUAUAAAUUCAAUACUAACUCAAUCAAUGAAAUAAAAUCACAGAUAUUUUUUUUUCUAAAUUAAUAGGACUUCUAUAAAUAAUCAUAAAUGGUAGGUUCACAUCAUUUAUAACUUUGAAUUAUAAGUUAAUUAAUAUAUUUAUUAAAAUGUUAAUCCAACCAAGAUUUAUCAGUAUAAUUCACAAUUUACACUUAAUUGUUAAUUACAUAAAAAAAGAAAAAAGUGAAAAAUUACAUAUGAAGUAGCCAAAUCAAUAAUAAUCAUAAAAAUGUUAACUAAAUUCAUAAAUUUAUCAUUGCAAUUAGUUCUUUUUUAUUACUAAUAAUUAUAAUGUGGAAAAUUAUAUUCGUUAAUGAAUUAGAUGAAAAGACUACAUUAAUAAAGUGAUAAGGAAAAAAAUAAAAGAGAAUAACACAAAUUCAAAGCAUUAUAGAGAAAAAAUUAUAAUCCAUAAAAGGUAGAAGAGACAACCAAAAAAAGAAAAAAAAAAGACUGCACUGUUGUACGAAUAUUACCAUCAAAGGGGGGUGACACUGUUAUGUGAUUGAACCCUUCUUUAGUAUAUAGUAAUACCAGUACGCACAGAAUGCAGAGAGAGCACCAUAAAGUUUAGAUGCCACUAUAACUUUGACAAAACAUAUUUGGUCUAGUCUAUAUAUGUUAAAUGCACCAAGACUAGAAAUUACACAAAAAAAAAAACAAAAAGGGCUAGUCUAUCUAUCUCUGAUAAAGUAAACUAUCCAGAAGAUCUUGGCUUGAUGCGGUUAUGCCAGCAGAGACAGCUCGAAACCAUCCCCCACGUUACUCAUUCCCUGCUUCUUUUUCUUUGGUCUUCACCUCUUCUGCAAUGUGGAAACCCUCAAUCUUGCACGAAACCUCUUCCGCAGACACCUUCACCUUUCCAACUGACCCAUUUGCUGCCAUCGAUUCAGCGUCGUCAUGAGUCAAAGGGCCUGUCUGCCAUAUUCUAAUGGUUCCAUCCUCAGAUCCUGAGGCAUAUGAUUCCCCUCCUGGUGAGAACCGCACGCAAUGUACAGGACCAUGGUGACCCUUAUUGCAUGCUGCACACCAGAUGUAAAUCAGUAAUUACAGGAAAAUGCAAGUUCCCAUACAGAAACAGAAACAAACAAAAAACGCUAGAUCACUAUGAUAUUUGCAUUCAAGCACCAAAUCUACCGAACAAACUACAGCUACCAAUCUUUUCUAGUAUUUACGGAAUUACGAGUAGUAUCACAUAUCAUAUUUGAAUUCAAGCACCAAAUUCACACACUAAUCAGAAUUCUGUCAUCAAGUCCACUCCUAUUUUAUCUUUGAGAACAUACCUAUCUCAUCCCCAGUGUGGAAAUCAAAAACACGAACCCACAUAUCUUCCCCUCCAGCAACGAAUUUAUUUCCAUACUUUGGUUCCAGUGAAGCUGAUUCAACUGUGCAUGGCAUGUUGUGGCUCUUUACCAACCCAAAGCUGAAGUAAAGGCAUAAUGCACAGCAUACUGUAAUCAAUAAAAGCAGAAAUUCUAGCACAAAAAGCCAACAUAUCAGGCUUAAAAGUCAUCUUACUGGUUUGCAUCCCAGAACUUAACCGUAGAUCCAUCUGCAGUUGUGAUAUAUCGACCAUCUAGACUCACUUCAGCACUGGUCACAGAGGACUUGGUCUCUAGUGUUUGAACUAUUUUACCACUCCUUACAUCCCAUAAUCUGUAUGGUCACUAAGAAAUUCAGUACUAGGAGAGAGAAAAAUGCCGUUAAAAAUCCAGAUAAGCAGUAUAUAUAGUAGGUUAAUAACAGCCUUUUGGGUAAACUCAACCUAGUUAUAUACACUGUUAAAAAUAUGCUUUAGAUAAGGUAAAAAGGUUAAUAAAUCAACAAGCAGGCAAGCAUCUGCAACUACUCAUCCAUCUAGUUGCUUCCUCCCUCUGGGCUAAACAGGAAGAAAAUUUACAAAACUUUAAAACCUUGCCCCCACUGAAAUUCAUGCAUCCAAGGAUUUGAUCUCAAAAACUCUAAAAGAGUAUCGUGGUACCAGAAAUUGCAAAAGAAUUUUGAGGUGAUCCAAUACAGUUUAUACAACAAGACAACAACCUUCCACACAUAUAAAUAACAAAAAUACAACUAAAAUGCUUGUUUAUUAAGAACAAUGAACCACACAUGUUACAGAAAUUACAUUACAGAACCUUCAAACAUGGCAAGAUAAGGAUACCUGACACCCCCCAUAUCAGUGCAAGAACUUAAUAUUGUCUGAUCACUAUGCAUCCAUGCAACAGUUCUGACUGAACCAGGAGAUUUGUCCACUUCUCUUGGAGGUGCAUCUGGACAAUUCAAAUCAUAAAUACGGAGGACUUUCUCUAUUCCCCCAGUCAAUAGAAGGUGUGUAUCCUGUUACCAGAUCAAAAGCCCUUGAAUAAGAUGAAUAACUAAGAAUAAUAAGUAAAACAAACAGACAUGCUAAAAAAUUAGGGGUACUCGGUCAAGAAAAAAGUAAUUAGGGGUACAACAAAGCCAACCAUUCCAUAACAGAAUUUUACUGGAGAUGAGCAAAUACCUUUAAACAGAACUGCAACUAUUACUGUUUGCCUAUAACAUAGAACAAUGAAAUAACUAGCUUUAAAUAAUCUCAAGUUUCACCAUGGAUCCUAUGACUUUGAAUUUGGACAAAACUGCACUAAUGGCAAUUCAGAAUUUUUUUACUAUGGCUUUCUAUAGUAAGAUAAAGUAGUAAUUCUUAUGGCUUUAUCAAUGGAAAAAAGGUCCAGCUACAUCUGUAACACCAGAAAAGAAAGACGUUCCUGGCUGAAAGUUAAACACAUUACUAGAUAACCUGUUGUGGUGUUACUAGUUAGCAUCUUCUAAUAAAUUCCUCGUGCAAAGAAGAAGACGAACAAAAAGAUGAUGAUAGUUAUGACAACUACUCUUUAAUGGUUAUCAGGCCUUCAAAAUUCAAACAUGGUUAACAUUUAUUUGUCGAGUUAACCAAAGAAAAUAAAGAUCAGGAGAAAUCACCUAAGAACUGAAAUGUUGCAGAGUUAGCUUUGAUUUAGUAACAGGCAUUACUAUUCACAACUACUGCAAGGGUUUGGCAGAAGCAAUUAAUUUUACUUUCAAAAGUUAAUAAUGAGGGCCAUAGUAACCUAGAAAGCUGUACAACAACCUGUCUACAAUAUUGUAAAAAUAUCCAUUUAUCAAAAGGUUGAUGGUUCAUGCACCCACAUUAGCUGUUACACAGUUCAAACACCAUAUCUCUCUUCCAUUUUCCUACCAUAUUCCCUCAUAUACACUCACCUCAGAACACAAUUAGGAAUUACCUAAGUGAAAGUUUAAACAGAAUGAAAGAACCAACUUUACCUCUGAAAAAGCACAGGCUCGAACUAUAUGCUUGUGCUCAAAUGAGUGCAAUUCAUCACCUGUUAGUGCAUCCCAUACUUUCCUGCAAAGAAAAAAAGGCAUUUCACAGGAUAUGUAAACUUUUUAUUAUUGAACAACUCCAUCCAGAAACAGCAGAUGAAACAACACAUGCCACUCCAGUUACAAGAUCUCAAUUCAAACUAAAGUGGUAAGAGUUCAAGCAUGAGCAGCUAUCUAGAGCAUAUCAAAUCUUUAUUAAGAGUUAUGGUCCACCUUUGAGUGAUAGAAUAUAGUAUUUGUAAAUCAAUCAACAAGACAUCAUUAAACAGGAAUAUGUAAAGAGCAGGCACAAGAAAAAAGAAUGAUGCAAAAUGACAAACUAUAAUGACAUAGAGUCUCUCAAUGCUGUAAACAUAUAAAGAAUUUCCCACAAGGCUCUUGAGAUGUUCCAAGACAUUUUGUAUGAAUAGGCAAUCCGCAUAUAUAACAACUAAGAGAAUGACAAACAAAACAAAUCAUACAACUUUCUGAGUUAAAAAACAACAUAUUGUAAGGUCAAGAAGGAUCACAUACGCAGUAAAGUCAGCAGAACCGGAAGCGGCACGUAAAGCAUUUGUAUCCAAGCAAACACUCCACACCGCUCCCUUGUGUCCUUCAAACGUUCCUAUCCAAUCUCCAGUCUCUCCAUUCCUCAGCAUGGGACUGGAAUCUGAAGCAGACGAGUAAAGCCCCAUUUUUUUAUGACCAUGAGAUCAUUAUUAAAUUAUCCCUCUACAGAAGUGCUUAUCUCUCAGUUCUAUGAAGAAUCACGGUCGUAAAAUUUAUAAUACACAAAUUAUUACCACAAUUCAUACAUAUAAAGGCUUAUAUCUAAUGAUAUCAAAUCAAUAAAAUAUAGACUAGAGCUUAGCCUAAAACGAGAUAAAAAAUCGCAAUUUAAGAUAAUGGAUUACUUGUAUAAAAAUUUAUUUCCAGAUACAAUAAAUAAACAAUAAAUCAUAAAUCAUUUUACUCAAAAAUUUAAUUUUAGACCAACUAAAUAGUAAUUACCUUUGCUGGCACUAAUGAGAAAAAAGCCAUCUGGAGUAACAGGGCUGUAAAAGAGAUCCACAACGGGACGUGAAUGGCCAUGGCAUACAAGUGGGACCGCAAUCCUCUUCUUAUCCAUUUUUUUAUUCUUUUAGUUACAAAUCAAACACACAAAAAAAAAAUCCCGUUCUUGCUUUUGUGAUCUUUAAACAAAACGAGAAAAACAACCUUUAAUCCUUACAAAUCUACACAAGUCCAAAGAAUAAAAAGACAACUUGGGUUCCUUUCUUUCUGGGUAUUCUUUUUGGGAUCAGAAUGUACAGAUACAGAGGAAGAUUAGUAGCAGAGAAAAAAACAAAAGAAAUGGCGGUACUUAAAUACAGGUGGGAAGACGCUUGUAUUUUUUGAUUAGUGAGAUUUGGGAUAUGAUAGCGUGAAUCCACACCUCCUAACCCUGGGCUCUGAGUGAGAUGGUGGUGCAAAAAUGUUAGGGAAAACGAGAAGAAACUAAAUGUUUUACAGGAGUCCGGAGUCAGGUACAGAGCUAGGAAGAAUCAAAGGGCUAGGCGCAAGGACAAACCUGCUAUGGAUCUCCCCUUAUAUACUACAAGGCUGACUUCACACCUAAUUUUCCCACUCUGCUUUUUCUUUUUUAAUGAAAGCAAAAUUUAAAGAAGGAAAUCAGGCUACAGCCCAACAAGGUGGAAUACCAGCCCAGCCCAAUUAAAAAAGGGUCUCAAUACGGCCCAACCCACCUUACUGUCACCGCAUAAGCCAGAAAUUCCACCGAACUCUAGGAUACUUUUAUUGUCAGAACUCUGUAUUUAAUUCAAAAUCCCAAUCAAAACUUGUUGUCAAAGAAAAACCCCUUCCAUAAAAUCCCCUGAAGCGAUUCUACUUACAAAAAGCGAAAAACUUUAAGAAGCAAGAUUCAAUGGCCACGGUGGGUAUCGAGAGGAAGCAACCGGCGUCGACGGAGGAGAUGUGCACCGCCAAGAGCGGCGCCAAGCAGGGGGAAGGCCUCCGGCAAUACUAUCUCCAACACAUCCAUGAGCUCCAGCUCAAUCUCCGCCAGAAAACCCACAAUCUCAACCGUCUGGAAGCCCAACGCAACGAGCUCAAUUCUCGAGGUACUUUAACCCUAAUGUUAUAUUUUUCACUUCGAUUUAUUGUCUUAUUUUUUUUUAAUUUUUGGGCUCGAUUGAGAUUGUCGAUUGGAGAUUAGGGUUUUGGUUGAAAUUUUAGGGAAAGUUGUUAACUUUGUGUUUUGAUCUGUGAGAAAAUUUGAUAUUUAGUUGAAUUAACUUUAGCAAGAAUCUGAGGAAGAUUGUUGGUUUAGAAAUUUGUGGAGGUUAAGGUGGUGAUGACAUCUGCUGAUUGCUUUGGAAAUUGGGCUGUGUUAGUUGAUCAAAAGCAAUGAAACAAGAGAUUUGAUUGAGCUUAGAGGUUUGGUUGACUUCGUUCUAGAUCUGAGAGAACUUUUUGGUUGAUGCAAUGGAAGUGAAUUGGAAAAUUUAUUAAUAUUCUAAUUUAACACCACCUGGGAAAGUCUUAACUGAAAGUUAAUAGUAGAUUAUGAAAACUUUUGGUUGAAUUUUGAAGGCCCCAAUUUUUGCAAGUAAAAAGUGUAGCCAGAAGUUGUCAUUUGAUCUUGUCAAUAAAAUUUGCGUUGAUAUAUCCAUUUUUUCUGUAUGGUUGGAAACUAUGUGCCUUUGAAAUAGAAAGGUAAUAUUGGCCAUUGUCAAUGCUGUGUAAUAAUCUACUGUUGGUAUAGCCAUUUACUUUGGUGUUUACCAGUUUAAUAGUCUUCUGAUUGGAAGGGGUGGAUGGGGUUUAGUUGAACAUCAUUGCAUUUUUACAUGGAAAGUGCAUCUAAUACAUGUGACAAUAUUGUGCAAUGGUUGUGGGGCCUUCUGUUUAGUAUUUUUGUUGAUGAUAGCCCCUUCUCAGAAAGAAACGCAUAUAUGGAGCCUUGAAUCUUAAGGGGAAAUAUGUUUUUUUAAGAAAAAUUUAAUCUUUAUUUUUGGUGCUUUCAUUCUUUUAGUCUGUUUCUUGUAGAAGUACUUAUUAUGUUUGCAUACUGGAUAGUGAGAAUGCUUAGAGAGGAACUGCAGCUGCUUCAAGAGCCUGGAUCCUAUGUUGGUGAGGUUGUGAAAGUUAUGGGUAAAAACAAGGUUCUAGUCAAGGUAUGUGAUCCUUUUAUCCCUACUUAAUUCUUAGCUCUCUCUUUGACUUUACUAAUAGGAAUAACAUCUUGUUUAAUACUCAAAAUAUGUCCUCAACAUAAACUGUUUAAAACUGUAGAUAAUUUAAGAAGUCCAUGGUGUCAUUUAUGGAGUGUGUGUUUCAAUCUUACUCUGCUUUUAUUCUCCAGGUUCAUCCAGAAGGAAAAUAUGUUGUUGAUAUCGAUAAGAAUAUUGAUAUCACAAAAAUCACACCUUCGACAAGAGUUGCUCUACGCAAUGACAGCUAUGUGCUCCAUCUGAUCUUACCAAGCAAAGUAGAUCCCUUGGUUAAUCUUAUGAAAGUUGAAAAAGUUCCUGAUUCUACAUAUGACAUGAUUGGUGGUCUUGACCAACAAAUUAAAGAGAUAAAAGAGGUUUACUCUCACACUUCCUUAAUUUGUUCAUUUAUGGCUGAUCUCUUUUUGGUUUUUUCCUUUAUCUGUAAUGUUUCUCAAUUAUUUGUCCCAUAUUUUUCGUGGAUUGGUUUAAUUCUUUACACCUGCUUUGUGGUAAACUUUGCAGGUCAUAGAACUUCCUAUUAAACAUCCUGAAUUGUUUGAGAGUCUUGGAAUAGCUCAGCCAAAGGUACUAUUAUGGUACCAAGUCAUAGCAUUUUGUUGAUUUGUUUCCCAUAUGAUUAAAUUGUAAGACUAAAUUUUGCUCUCUAUCAUAAAUUUAUAGGGUGUCCUGCUGUAUGGACCACCUGGUACAGGAAAAACUCUAUUGGCUAGAGCUGUGGCCCAUCAUACUGAUUGUACUUUUAUCAGGGUGUCUGGUUCUGAAUUAGUUCAGAAAUACAUUGGAGAAGGCUCCAGAAUGGUUAGAGAACUUUUUGUUAUGGCCAGGUUUGUUCUUUUUCCUUGCUUGUUAUCCUUGAAUAUUAGUGUUGAAUGAGACUUGCAUAUUAAGCCAGCACCAUGAUGUAUAAAUUUAAAUAAAUGCAAAUGCAGAAUAUCUUAUAUAUAAUAGCAAAGUAAAACUCUUUCAAUAUAGCAGCUAUAUGGAUUUGAUUUUAAAGCUCGUUUCCUUUUGAUUGUGAUCAAGAAAAGAAAAGCUUACUUGCUAUCUAGAAUUAGUCAUUAGCCAAUAGCCAGAUCUUCUGUUUCCUGAAAGACGAAGUAAAGCUGCUCCUGUCUGAUUACCUACCAUGCUGUUAUAUUUUGCUUUGUCUUUCUUAUUUUACUUAAAUGGUUCCUUCCUCUGUUUUUCUUUUUUGCCCUUUCCAGGGAGCAUGCUCCGUCGAUUAUAUUCAUGGAUGAGAUAGACAGUAUUGGAUCUGCUCGAAUGGAAUCUGGAAGUGGCAAUGGUGACAGUGAGGUGCAGAGGACCAUGUUGGAGCUUCUCAACCAGCUUGAUGGAUUUGAAGCAUCUAACAAGAUCAAGGUAGUGAUUGCUUUGUGAAAAUACUAAUCUAAUGAAUGUGGAAGAACAUCUCAUAGUUUGCAUACAGCUAUUUGUAUUGCCUCCUUACCUGUAUUGAUGCAUUGCUGAACAGGUUCUGAUGGCCACAAAUCGGAUUGAUAUUUUGGAUCAAGCUCUUCUUAGGCCAGGACGAAUUGACAGGAAGAUUGAAUUUCCAAAUCCUAAUGAGGAGGUACAUGCCAUUUAUUUUGUUAAUUUAUAUGUCCCUGCAAGCAUUUUAGUACCUUUCUCCAUCUUUUUCAUGUUAGGGCUUUAUAAAGCCACUCCCUCAUUGGCACCUUGUUGGGGGUUGUAUUUGAUGAAAAUAUGGAACUCUCACGAAUUCAUUGAUUAUGCAUCAUUGAUUGUGUUAUGUGUCAAGGUUGGCAUUAAUUCUUUUUCAACUCAUUGUGUAUUAACUCUCUCUCUCUCUCUCUUUCUAUAUAUAUAUAUGUAUAUCUGGGGGGAGAAACAAAGAAUCAUUAUCAUGUCAUGGACUCUAGUGAUUCCUGACAUAACGAAUUUUUAUUAUGCUCUUGCUGUUGUAAUGUGCUGCUACUAUCCAGUAGAAGGUUCUUCUGUCACUUCAGACGUUGUUAUAAAGGCAAAAAUUUUCAAUUAGGUAGUUGUUGAGGUUCUUUUGCCAUAAUGAUCAACCCUUUUGGGGUAUUGUGCAGAACCUUCAUUGAAUAGAGCAAUCAUAAUAUGGCAGUGUGUUGCUGGUACAGUUUGUACCAGAAUUUUUCUGUUUUUCGAGAGCAUGCGGUGCAAAUGCUAUGCUGGUACUUAUGUUAUCUUGUCUAUUAUAUGCAGUCUCGUCUGGAUAUCUUAAAAAUACAUUCUAGAAGAAUGAAUUUGAUGCGGGGGAUUGAUUUAAAGAAGAUUGCAGAGAAGAUGAAUGGUGCUUCUGGUGCAGAGCUUAAGGUAAGUUUGCAGAUACUUGAUCAAUUAAAUUGUGUGUGUUUUCUGGAUAAAGAGAUACCAUUCUUGCAAUGGUUGCAAGCUGCAUAUAGCAUCUUUUCUUCUAGAUCUUCCCCCUCGUCCCCAUCCGUAACCUCCCAACCACACAGAGACAAAGAAAGUCAUUUGAAGAUUGUUAUGUUUCAAGCUUUGUUAAUUUUACACUAUUAGCUCUCUCGUUUCAAGGUUUUAUUAUAAUGUUGUGCUAGAAGCCUUGGAUGGCGCUUAUAAUUAUGAUUCUGACUAACAAAAGAAAGUUCCUUAGUCCCAGUUAGGUUUUUUGACAUAAUUGUGUGGAUUUUUUUUUUUUUUGUGGCACAAGUUGAUAUCUUGCUAUUUAGGCUGGAGGUCCUUCUUAUAGCAUCCAUGAGGUUUAUGAUGAUUGUCUAACCCAUAUUACAAACUUAUUGAAAAUGUUUAUGCACGUGAAUCUGGGUAAUCAGAUGCUGCUUUGAGAAGGCAAAAGGCUUUUGAUUAAUAACCAGUGUUUGUCAACUUAGUCCUGUGUAUUUGGUGCUUGUUUGACGAACUCCUUUCUUUUGCAGGCGGUAUGCACAGAAGCUGGGAUGUUUGCUUUGAGAGAAAGGAGAGUCCAUGUAACACAAGAGGAUUUUGAGAUGGCAGUGGCGAAGGUGAUGAAGAAGGAGACGGAGAAAAACAUGUCCUUGCGGAAGCUGUGGAAGUGAUUCUGUUUCUUUUAUUGUGCUCUUGUGCGUUUUGGGCAAAAUGGAACAUGUAAACCGGAUUUAUACGGUGAAAAUGUAUUUAAUAUUUGCUAGUAGAGCACUUAAAUAUAUGAAGAACUUGGUUUGUCUUGCAGAGUUUAUGAAUGCAUGCCGCUACGGCUUUACAAUGGGGUAACUGGCUCCAUUGAAAUCCUUGCAACUUUUUUUGGUGGCACCAUGUAACGACUACCAAAAGUCAAGUUUGAGUUUUGCUCUCAUUGAAAUUUAAUUAGGUUCUCAUUGUAAAUCGGACUUGUGAAAUUUGUUUACUAAAGUGAAUUGGAGAACUUAUGCCUGUGGAUGUGACGGAAAAUAAGUACGCAUCCAUUGGUAACCUUACAUUGGCAAUCUUAUCCAAAUUUAAUAGGUAAAUUGCUCAAAACUUUUUAAAUUUUGAUCAUAAUUUUAUCUAGGUCUGAUAGUAUUAAAAAUGGAUAAUUCGUUGUAAAAGGUUAUAUAGUUGUAUAUAUCGUCGGACAUAUGAGUCUUGUCUUUAAUAUUUAUUUAUUUAAAGAUGUGAUACUAAUAUCAUACCUAUUUUAUCCUUUCUGCAUUUGAUAUAUGCUUUUAAAUGAUUUUCAGAAUUUUUUUUUCUCCUCACUUUGCUAGUGAGAAUUCUUUUCCCCCUCCAAAAAGACAUAAAAAGUGAUCAAUCAAGACACACUCCCAUUGUCAAGAUGCCCUGACUCAAGAGUGAUCAAUCAAGGCACUCGACGUGAAGCCAUCACCAAAAUAUCGGCAUGGCUACUUUCUGCUAGAAACUGAUCACAAAAACUCAGAAAACCAUGACCAUGACCAUGACUUCUUUCGGCCAAACCUCAAAGUUGCUUCUCACAAACAAAAACCCAGUCCAGAAACUAUAUGGUGAACCCAGCAAUGCAAACAACAAUAAAAAUGCCACAGAAGCUGGCAUCAGUUCAUAAAUAUAACAACAUUUUAUCCAAUUAAGCAUGCAUCACAAGCUGGCAAACUCAUAAAUCUGGUUCUUGAACUUCCUAGCUUCAAAAACUUCCUACGAGUUGUAUCCAUUUUUUUUUUUUAUGAAAAAGGAGCGAACAAUUACUGCAGCUCCCUAACCUCUAUACUUUAUAUAUACGGACUUAAAUUUACAAAGUUUGACAAGGCUGAUCAUAAUAAACGAGGAGAUCAUUUAUUGCACUAUCUACAUAAGGGACAAAUAAUUCAAACUAGCUGCCCUGAUUUGUUAAGGUGUAUACUUGCAUGAUGAGUACACGUGCACAAGAUCUCUCGUUGGUUUGCUGUAAAGCAAACUUAUAGCACAUUAACUUGUUUUGUAACGUGCAGCCAUGCAUGUUCACUGUGUUGUUUAACCUAAACACUUGGUUCAUGCAAUAUAACAAGUGUUAAUCAUGUAUAAUUCAUAUAUAUUACUUGUAAUUAACUUUCAGAUGAAUGAAGCUAAUGUUUGAUGCGAUUUUCUUUGCUGGUACUUAAGCUCUGUUCAUCCCUGUUUCUCGUGUUCAUAACAGAGGCUGUUGUUGCAGCCAUUACUUCAGCUUUUCACAGCAUAACACUAAUGGUACGUUUGGUAUGGAGAAUAACUAAGCCGUUCCCCUCAGUCCUUUUUCAUUUUUAUUCUUUCCUUUGGUUGGUUUUUGAGGUGAGGAAUAGUCAUUCCAAGCAAUGGCUAUUUGCUAUUCCCAAAGAAUGCAAAUCUUCUGCCCCGAAUUGGUGCCCCAUUUCCUGCCCCCUUUAUAAGAUUAUGCCAUCUGUCCAAUAAAUGGAAGUUUAUUAACGGCACGUUAACUCCUUUCUUUUUUUUUCAUUUCCAAUCUAUUCAAUCGUUACUCUCCAGUUUUUGCUCUUUACUUCUUCUUCCGUCAUGGUGGAGGCUUCAGACAAUAGCAAGUUUUAGUUUUCACCUUGGUUCUUAAUCGAGGAUGACUUGUUCACAGACAAGAGUAAAGCUAAGAACAAUCUCAAGAAUCCCGAAGAUUGUUUUGGAUUAGACCACUUGUGCAUGGACAGAAAGAAAGCUAAGAACAAUCCCAAGAAUUCCAAAGUUUUGUUUUUUGAUAAACAAUUAUUGAGAGAAAGUACAUACAGUGUCAUUGUUUUGACAAGAUGGACCACAUUUUUUUGGAUGUUCUCUGCUCUAACACUGUUAUUGGGUUCAAAUUUGCCAAUAUCAAUGAAAUGGUUGUUUUAAAGAAAAGAUUAAUGCUAUGGUGGAAUAGCACAGAGCUUAAAAAAUAGGAAAAAAGAAAAGAAAAAGCCGCACUUGAUCAUCCUCUUCAUAUCUGGGUCUCUAGAGCAACCCCAUUGGUCACAAUAUUUGAAACAGAGAGAACCAGAUUGAUGCAAGUAAAAGCCACAUAAGCCAUACAAGGCAAUUAUCUUAAUUUCAUUACUUGAAUCUGCGUAUAGAAUAUCAAAAUCAAAAAAUUUGGUUACACUCGGGAUGAAAACAAAGACUCUGCUAGACGCCCGACAUAUUCAAUCAUAAGCUUAAACCCCACCCAAAAAUCAUCCCACAGACAUAAUAUCCCUGUACAGCAAAAGAGUCAGAAACACAGAAUCUACAAGAGAAACACAACGAGUAGAAAGACCAUCCUCCAUUCCUUUAGCAUGAAAUAGAAUCAGAUUCGCCUUCACGCCCUGCUAUCCUCAAAGCACUGCAUAAACCAGAAUAAUGACACUAUCUCGAGACAUAACCACAUCGGGUUACAGCACAGCAGCCAAAAUAUAAUAUCAUGCCAUUAAUGCACACCAACAUAUCACAAACCACGCUAAUCAAAGGCCAUUGGUAAGUUAGUUGUCCACUGGAUCCCAUCUUUAGCAAAGAAUCUCAAAGAUGGCUUUUGUGUUCUUUUCGGAUCUAAGUUCUCCGAUGGAGUCUAUUUUGAGUUUUGCUAAAACAGGGAAUGACAAAGAAGAUAGAUACCACUUGAGUUUUUAACUGAUGACUAACUGUUCAUGAAGAAGAGCAAAGCGAAGAACAAUCCAAAAAUCCCUAAGAUGGCUGACGGUUCCAAGAUUGGAGGGUAAUGAUUGAAAAUAUCUGGAAAAGAAAAAAAAAAGAGUUAACGUGCCGUUCAUAAACUUCCAUUUAUUGGACAGAUGGGAUAAUUUUAUAAGAGGGGCAGGGAACGGGACACCAAUUCGGGGCAGAAGAUGUGCAUUCAUCAAAAUCUUGACGUAGUCAUUCCUCACCUUUCCAUGUUAGUCAAAAAUUUAUUGGAUAAUAAGUUCUUAUUUUUGGAAAAUAAUUACAGCUUAUAAAUAAAAAAUUAUAUUAAUAAUUUAACAAUAAAUUAUUAAUCUUUAAAUUUUUAAUGAAAAUAGAAAUUAAAGGAUUUUAAAAAUAAAAUACAUAUAAAGAAAAUAAAAAUUGAAAUAAAAAAUUAUAUUAAUAAUAUAAUAAUAAAUUAUUAAUAUUUUAAAAUUUAAUAAACAUNUUUGUUUAAUUUAUUAAAUUAUAAUAAUGAGUAAUUUUGUCUAGUUUAUUAAAUUAUAAUAAAGGAAGUUUUAUAAUUUUAUUAUUUAUUUUUUAAUUAUUCUAAAAUUAUUUUUAUCAAUCAAACGUAAGAAUGAAUUAUAAUAAUAAUUCUUAACUUAUUUUAUUUUGUAAAUAAAAUUAAAUAAUAAUUAUUUUAUUUUAUUUUUACAUGAUAAUUAUUUUAUUUUAUUCUAUUUCAUUCCAGCAAAUGUGCCGUAAUUGUUAUCAAUAAGUCAAACCACCGGCAAAUGCAUCUCCAUCCUGAAGUAAACUCUGUGUCAAGUGUCAACCAAUAACCAUUCCAUGAACCACCAAUCCUCUACACCAUUGUAAAUUCAAAUAUUUCUUCCUCCUCUAGGCGACUUCCAAGUAUCCAAACCUGUUGCUUGAAUCGGUUCUCCUUCACAAAACAAACUGCUCAAGAUCUUUCUCUCCUUGUGAACAAGCAAUAAUCGAUAAGUUGAAUGGUGCAGAGAUUAUAUAUACAUACAUACAUACAUAUAUAUAUAUAUAGCACAGUAGUUACAAUCAGUUUGGAUUCAGUCAACUGAUUAUAUGGGUUGCUACCGCGUGGAACGUCCACAGAAAAAAAAAAAGAAAAAGAAACUAACAAUUCAUGGUAAAGUUUAAACUGAAAACUUUUGCUUCUCGAGUUUGACCUCAAGUAUGUGUUUUAUGUUGGCUUGGUCUUUGUAUUACGGAGUGAGAUCUAAGAUGAUACAGUUAUAAGCAUGUGCUAUGGUGUGGGCAGUGUAUAAAGUAAAGGUGGUGUUUUUGUGCUUUAAUUUGUAUGUUUGGGGCUUGAAAAGAUUAGUGAAGUUGAAUUGGUGUUACGGCUGUCAAGGGGUGAUGACACAUAGGCUCUCGGGAUGGAGUACUUGUUUGGUGGUGCGAAGGAUGGUGCUGGUGGUGGCAUGGAUCCGAGGAUCUGCAAAUGAACAAGGAGAGGUUUAAAAUUGAAGAAACGGUUUUAGAGGGGGAGAGAAAAGAAGAAGAAAGAAAGAAAGAAAUUAAAGCUAAAAGUGUGCAUGCGGUGGCUUUCACUUCAUAGGAUGAAAUGAAAUGUCUACUUUUAAUAUUAAAGGAUUUAAAUUUAAUUGUGAUUAAAACUUAAACUGAUUUCAGUAAUUUACCCAAAUUUAAUUAAUAAAACAAUGAUGCUCGUCAAAGGAAGCCUUCGGUUUAAGGCUUCUUUAGACAGCUCAAAGUAGGUGAUCGAAUUGAUCGAUAUAUUUUGCAACUUUUUUUUUUCUAGAACGUAUAUUUAUUAUUAAAUCAAAAUGUUCAAACCCAACCUCGACUAAGCUUUACCGAUAAUGUAUGAGCACUCAGCCUGGGUCAAUGGUCAAAACCUACCAUCCCAAAUUAUUAAUUUCUCCAGACAACUGCACCAAUUAUUUAAACAUGAAAAGUCAAAUAAAUUAGUUGUUAGUUUCAUAUGUAACAUAAAUGACUCUCAGUUCUCAACUUGUGUUGGUGGCUGGUUGCUCUCACGGGCAGCUCGCCGUGGACAUUAAUCAGAUCCAACAGACACUGCAUGCGUGGUACGUAAUAUCCACUCCUCCUCGAGUGAUUUGAGAUUAAUAGUUGCAUUUUCUUCAGCUGUUAAAGGACCUGCGAAAAUCGCCAACUUAGGUAGGCCCUUAGCAGAAUACCAUUUAACUAAAAGAUUUUCUUAAAGAAUUCCUAUUAAUUCCUGUUGUGUGGGAGAAAGCCAAAGCCUGGUUACUCGUUUGGGAAAAAGAAAAAGACAGUGUAGAGAUAUUAGAGGAAAUCGUGAGAAAAAGAUCUCGUGAUAAGAUGAUUUCAGAAAUAACUACUUAUAUAAAGUUAUUUAUUUCUAGCAAAAAAAAAACAUGAAUAGACCAAAAUGUCCUUAAAAAUAUCAUUUCAAAUUAAGAUCCCGAUAUCUCCCUUCCACCAGAGAGAAAAUAGAAAUAAAUAAAUGCUCAGCUGUUUGAGCUCGAUCAUCUUUCUCUUUCAACUCUCUGAAUUGUCUCAACUCUACCAACUCUCUGUUGAGCACCAUCGUCAUCAGCUCUUUCAACUCUCUGAACUGUAUGAGCUCUGUCAACUCUCUGUUGAGCACCAUCGUCAUCGGGCUGUGGUCUAUCUCUCGGCAUCUGGCCAUAUUGUCGUAGAUUAACAGACCCUAUAGCAAAGAUGACAUCAAGGUAUGUUAUUGGGUUUGGGUUCAUUGUUGCAACACUUAAUUUCUGAAACAUUUAGUGUAAAUUAGAACAUGGAUUAGAAAUAUUGCCCAGAGUUGUUACACACCAUGCAUCUAUAACAUGUGUUAAAGUUAUAUUAGCAUGUCACGACAUUAGUUAUUUUAGACGUGUCAGCUUUGGCGUGUUAUAACACUUUACGUUAUAUGCAUGGUGUGUUACCACAUUUUACGUUAUAUGCAUGGUGUGUUACAACAUUUUACGUUAUAUGUAUGGUGUGUUACAACAUUUUACGUUAUAUGCAUGGUGUGUUACCAUAUUUUACGUUAUAUGCAUGGUGUGUUAUCACAUUUUACGUUAUAUAUAUGGCGUGUUACCACAUUUUAUAUUAUAUGCAUGGUGUGUUACCACAUUUUAUAUUAUAUGUAUGGUGUGUUACCACAUUUUACGUUAUAUGCAUGGCGUGUAACAACAUGACUGAUAAAUUUUUGAACACGCAUGUAUUGUGUAAAAUGAUUGACAAAUUUUUUUUUAAAAUUUCAGUGGGGUUCCAAUUGUGCGACUUGUGAUAAGACACGGUGGUUAGUGGGUGGAUGGCAUUUACAAGGGUGGUGAGUCUCGAAUGCUGAGGGUUCGGAGUGAUUUGUUGUUUGCGGGCUUGAUGAAGCUGGUUGAAGAUGUUGUUGGGGUAAACUCAGAAAUUGACGAGAUUGAGUUACAUGCAUUGAUCAGUACACCUGGAGAGCUAUCACGGCCAAUUAUCAAGGACGAUGACGAUGUUGCAUUAAUUCUGCUAGAACAGAGGAAUGUUUCGGCUAUGUAUGUUAGCAUUCAGGGACGCCAAACAAAUGUUAUGUCACAUGAAGAAGUUGAACAACAUGGUAAUCAGCUUAAUCAAAAUGAGAUUUACAAUGCUUCACAUAUACCACAACAUUCGGUCCGUAACACACAACAAUGGCAAUUGAGGUAUGCACAAGAGUUUGUGCAGCCUGGUAGACAGAUGACAUUCACAGAACAGUUGGCUGCACAAUUCCGAUCAGGAUGUGCAUCAAACCAAUUACUUGCUUCUGUCUAACAAAUGCAACGAUCAGGUGAAACUGUAGAGUGCGUAAUGCCAUUGUCAAAUGAGAAUACGACACUUAAGGACUACACUGUGAGGUUGAAGGGUGACACUGUGACACUGGAGGAUAAUACUGCAUCUGAUGAGGGAAAUGAGGAUUUGUUCGCUGCUAGUGAAGAUAGAUUUGAUGACAAUUCAGAUGAUGGGCUUGAACAAUGGCAUGAUGACAGUUCAGACAAUGAUUGGUUUUAUGAUAGUGAUAUUCCAAUUUGCAAUAAUGUUGAAGGCGAAACGGAAUUUGUUGGAGGUGUUGAUGUAGGGGAUGUUCAAUGUGAUGACCCCAUAUACAAUAACCCCAUCGCUGGUGAGAACGGGAUUCGUUCCCUUGAUACAUUGCUCGAUGACGGUUAUCAGGAAAGGGGAAAUACAUGGAUAUAUCGUAUGUGGCUAAUUGCAGGUGUAGAAAGGUUCUCCUUCCAAACAAUUACCACUGAGGAGUCGACAUGUUCCGAUGAUCGCUUAUACAAAGGAAGAAUGUUUUCGUCGAAGGCCGAGUUGAAACAAGCUUUGAAUAUGUUGGUUCUAAAAGAGAAGUUUGCGAUAAGAGUAAAAAGGUCAUGUAAAGGUAGUUAUGAGGUUGGUUGCACGGACAAGGCAUGCAAGUUCAGUGUGCGUGCAACGAAGUUACUUGAUAGAGGAAAAUAUUGGCAAGUUUGAACGUUCCACAAAGUACACACUUGUACUGUUGAUGGUUUGCAAGGGCGAUUUCCAACUACGAGUGCGAAGAUAAUUGGUGAACUUAUGUCACACAAGCUUCGGGUUAAUGGAGUAACAUUGAGACCUAAGGACAUAAUUUGUAAGAUGAGGGUUCAGUAGAAAUUGGAAUGCUUGUAUGGUAAGGCUUGACAAGUGAAAGUGUAUGCGGAGAGGCUUGUUUUUGAUCCCUCGAAGGAGUCAUUGCAACUAUUACCCUCGUAUUUUUAUAUGUUGUCACAAGAAAAUCCUGGCAUAGUGACUGCAAUGGCUACUAAUGAGGUAAAAAGAUUCAAAUAUUGUUUCUGGUCAUACGAGGCUUGUAUUCGGGGAUUUAGGGAUGUAAUGCAUCCUACGGUUGUAAUUGAUGCGACACAUCUGAAAGGUAAGUUCAAGGGUGCUCUGUUUGUUGCUAUAUGCAAAGAUACGAACGAUUAUGUAUAUCCAGUUGUGUUUGGCAUCGACCAUGUUGAAGACGAAGACUCAUGGACGUGGUUUCUUAGCAAGCUACGUGAUGCCGUUGGUUGUCCUGAAAACACUAUGUUCAUUUUUUAUCAGCAUCUUGGCAUUAAGAAAGCAAUCCAAAAUGCAUACCCAAAAGUGCACCAUGGUUUAUGCGGUUACCACUUGAAAAAAAAAAACUUUAAAACCAAGUUCAAGUGCGACGACAUUUCUAUGAUUUUCACCCUUGCUCGAGAUUGCUAUAAGGUUUCUGAUUUCAACAGACAUAUGAACCAGCUUAAGCAGAUUCACGCGGAAGCCGACGCUGACCUUAUGAAAAUAGGACCUAAGAGAUGGGCAUGUGCAUGUUCACCUACAAGGCGAUACCAAAUGAUGACAUCCGAUAUUGAGGAAUGUGUUAAUGCAUGCUUGAAGCAUGCAAGAAAAAUGUCAAUCAUUGUUUUGAUCGAGUUCAUUAGAGACAUGUUUUAGCGUUGGUUCCAUGAUCGAUACGAGGAAGCUGUCAAGGUGACCAUGCCCUUCAACCCUUGGGUUGCCAAGUAGUUGAGCAAACGGUUCAAUGAUUCACAUUGCUUUGUAGUUAAGCCUAUCAACGAGUGGAGUUCGAAGUUAAAGACAGGAAGAUGGAUGGACUUGUAAACUUGUCCAGGAAGACGUGUUCAUGUUGUGAGUUCCAAACAGAUUUACUGUCAUGCAGCCAUGCCAUUGCAACAAUAAGGUUAGAAUAUUUUUAUUUCUUAUUUGAACCCUAAUUGACAUAGCAUUUACAUUGUGCUUGAAGAUUGAGUUUAUUGUAUUUUUCAGUAAAUGUAAAUGUGAAGCCAUUGAAUUCUACGCUGACUACUACAAGACAACCGUUUUGGUGGAGGGUUAUUCGGGAUCCAUUCGCCCGGUAAGGCAUCCUAAUGAGUGAGACGUCCCCCCUUAUGUGAAAUAAAUUGUCGUCUUGCCACCACCUUGGUGAGGCCAAGCAGGAAGACCUAGGAGGAAAAGGAUUCCAUCAGCUUGUGAAGGCAGUCAAGCACGAAGAUGUUCGCAAUGCAAGAGGUAUGAGCAUAACAGACAUAAUUGCCCAUCCCCACUUGCAGUUCCAUCCACAAAUCAAGCACCAUUUCCAAGUCAAUCGACGCCUCCACGAGUGCACCGACCCAAAGCAUGUUCAAGUUACAGACAAACCAGUCACACACGCAACAAUUGUCCAAUACGAAGGAUAAUGUCUGAAAAUGUAGGGUGUGUUAUGGAUGAAGACAGCUUGUCUGCCUAACUAAAUGUGUAACCCAUGUGCAAUACCUUUCUCACAAUUUCCCCUUGCAGUACCUUACAUUCAUUCAUAAUUUUUAGUAUUUGUUAGUUUCCUCUUGUAGAUGAGUUUUUAUUUUUUUUAUUAAUUUUGUAGAUAUAUUAUUUGAGUAUUCAUUUCAUUUUGUUCGUAGUUUUGAACAUUGAAUAGACUUACGAAGUCCCUAUACUGUUACCCCAUUUCUCACAUUUUAUUACCACUUGUAUUAAACAAUUAAUGAUUUGAUUUAAUUUCUUUCUAUUUCAUUUAAUUUAACCUUUUAUGUUCUUACAAUCAAAUCUCCUAAAAGAUAUAAAAUUUAAUUAAUUCAUCUAAAUUAUGCUAAACUAAUAAAAGAAAUGCUAGUGGCAGUUUUGAUCAUCUGGUGUUAGGGUUGAGAUUAGGCUGUAAUUGGUAGAUGUGAAUGACAUCUUGUGGUGACAUGCUGAGUAGGAGCAGAUGCUUGUGGUGACAUGUUGAGUGCACACAAACUUAUGGCGUGACACGUUAACUUGUUGCAGUCUUGUGGGGUGACACGGCACGGGCCAAUUGUGGUGACACGUUGAGUGAAUGCAGACUUCUGACGUGACACGCUGACUUGUUGCAGUCUUGUGGGGUGACACACCACGGCCCAAUUGUGGUGACACGCUGAGUGCAUGCAGACUUAUGGCGUGACACGCUGACUUGUUACAAUCUUGUGAGAUAACACAACACGGGCCAAUUGUGGUGACACGCUAAGUGAAUGUAGACUUAUGACGUGACACGCUGACUUGUUGUAGUCUUGUGGGGUGACACGGCACGGGCCAAUUGUGGUGAGAUGCUGAGUGAAUGUAGACUUAUGGAGUGACACGUUAACUUGUUGCAGUCUUGCAGGGUGACACUACAUGGGCCAAUUGUGGUGAGAUGUUGAGUGUAUGCAGACUUCUGGCAUGACACGCUGACUUGUUGAAGUCUUAUGGGGUGACACGGCACGAGCCAAUUGUGGUGAUACACUGAGUGAAUGCAGACUUAUGGCGUGACACGCUGACUUGUUAUAGUCUUGUGGGGUGACACAGCACGAGCCAAUUGUGGUGACACGCUGAGUGAAUGCAAACUUAUGGUAUGACACGCUGACUUGUUGCAGUCUUAUAAGGUGAUAGCCAUGCCCCACUGGGGUGACACGCCACGUGAUUGCAGUAUUAAUUUAAAAAUUUACAUUAACUUCUAAUAUUUAUAGGCACUGUGUUUGAAAUGAUAAAGAAGAAGUAAUGAGAAAGUAACAUAUAAAAUGUACGAAUAUUAAAAUUAAUAAAAUUAAUUGUAUAUACAAAAAAAAAUUAUGUACAUACAAUGACCGAUAUGUUUAGGGUUUACUUUCACAACUGUUGAAAAAAAUUUCUAGAGCGUAUUGGCGACGCAUAUUUGCAAUCAUAUUCUGCUUAACUUUAAUAUUUUUUUAUUGCAAAAUAUCGUCAAUGUACCCUAUCAUGAAUAUACCGCAGCUGACACUAUUAUUCUACCGAUACAGUUUAGCUUUUGGCAAAUGGAUUUCCAAUGGCAUCGAUGUCAAAUCCCGUGUCUUCCGGCGUGUUUUGUUGAAAUAAUCGGCUUGAUGGCAGAUGAUUGGCAUAAUAGUUGUAAAAAGUGUCAUCUGAGCUACACGUAUUCCAUUAUCCUUAGUAUCUGAAGUUCUUGCGAAGUCCACCACCUUGAUCGUCCACCUCAUCAAGUCGAUCUUCGCUACCACCCAUUGCCCACCUACAUUGCAAGAUGCGAGGAUGAAAUCGACAUCUUCCUAUUUUUUACCAUAUGUCGACCUCUCACCCUCCACGUACCCCCGUAACUCAUCCGAAAUUUUCAUAGUGGACCGGGCAUCUUCAGUUGAAAAUGCGGUGUGUAGCAGAUGGAUGGUGUCCUAUGAAGCAUGUAUACAUUAGCUUACACUUAAUGCAAUCAAAAACUUAGUAUUUUCAUAAUUGAAAAUUUUUUAGAUAAACUUACGAAGAAUAUUGUGUCAACCACACAUGCACAGGUAGUGUACAACUUCGACUUCGACCCUGUCAUCAGGCACGCAUCUAUAUGUUCACUACUCUUUUCUUCUUUGGGAUUCUCUAAUAUUAUGAAAAAUUCAGCAACUUGAUCCCCUAAGUUCCAGACGUUACGCCUGCAUAUGUAACAAAAUGAAUUUCAAAAGCCUUGUGGAUUAAUGUUUCAUUAAAAAACAAUAUUUACAAUGUUAUUUAUAAGCUUACCUCGCACACUCGUCUUUCUUGAAAGCUUCGUAUGCUUCCACCAAUGCGUCCUUCAUAUCCCAAAGGCUCACUAAGAGGUUGACAUACGAGCUUGACAUGUAUUUGCUCACCAGUUUAACCCGUGCUCGCUCAGUUGGGUCUGAAAUUUAUGCUGUAUGAUGAUGGACAUCAGACUCUGCUGACAACAACCGUGUCCUGUUAGCUUCAAGAGUGCUCUGAGGAAGAUGGUCCCCUUCAGCCUGAAGUGAUGCAAGGUUCUCAUCCCCUCAUACUGUUGCCUAGACUAUUGCAUAGGCUUUAGGAAGAGCUCUCCUUCAACCACGAGCGACUGAAGGUCCCCUUCCCCUCUUGCAGAUGCAUCGAUAACCAGAUCAGCCUCAAGAACAUGGACUCCUUCAGCCACGAGUGAGUGAAGGUCCCCUCCCCUUCCCGCAAAUACAUCGAUAACCGAAUCAGCCUCAAGAACAUGGACUCUUUCAGCCACGAGAGAGUAAAGGUCCCUUUCCCCUCCCACAGAUGCAUCGAUAAUCAGAUCAACCUCAGAAACAUGGACUCUUUCAGCCAUGAGCAAGUGAAGGUCCCCUUUUCUUCCCGCAGAUGCAUCGAUAACUAAAUCAGCCUUAAGAAUAUGGAUUACUUCAGUCACGAGUGAGUGAAGGUCCCCCUCCCCUCCCAUAGAUGCAUCGAUAACCAGAUCAGCCUCAAGAACAUGGACUUUUUUAGCCAUGAGCGAGUGAAGGUCCCUUUUCCUUCCCCCAAAUGCAUCGAUAACUGAAUCAGCCUUAAGAAUAUGGAUUCCUUCAGCCACGAACGAGUGAAGGUCCCUUUCCCCUCUCGCAUCGAUAACCGAAUCAGUCUGAGGAACAUGGACUCCUUCAGCAUCAUCUGAUUGAAGGGUCACAUCCCCUACCACAGCAUCAUCUCUGUCACGACUAACAACAUCAUCGUGAAUGUGAACUACAGCUUCAUCAUGUUGCCUAUCAUCAGCAUCAUCGUCGUCCUCACCAGCAUCGUGAGAUGAAGGACCGCUCUACAGACAAGACAAAUGAGAAAAUCCUUUAGCUCAUAAAAUACCACAAACCAUAAAUCGAGAACAAAAAAUAGAACUACACCUACUAAACAUAAACGACCAAUAUAUGAGCGAAGAUAGAAUAUUGUAUUUGUGAUUUCAAGCCCUCUAGAAUAUGAGCAACAACAUAGUCCUCAAAUGUUUACAUGGCCAGAGUCAAUGACUGAAUCGAAGCCUUCAACUUCGACAUGUCUUUUUUAUGCCGAUGCAUGAUCCGUCGCAGUUGACGCUUCGUGACUACUCCGUCAUUAACUCUUGUCGAAUGGGUCAACUGCAAUAAUAUGCAUUACUGUGUUAUUCAAUAAUCAUAUAAGGAAUUAUUGAACAUUGACCGUUAUAACUUUAAAAUCCAUACCGGCGGCUUGUUACCAUUGUGCGGUUGAGCAAGACUGAUUGGUGAUUGAGGAGGUACUGUCGCCUCCUUCAAUUGUAAUAACAGAAAUUAUUGUGUUACUCGAUAAACAUAUGAAGAAAUAUUGAACACAAAUCGUUACAACCGAUCUUACUAACAGCUCGUUAGCAGUGUGCAUCUGAAGAGGACCUGUCAGUGGCUGAGGAGUUGUCGUCACAUGGUCCAACUGUAAAUACAGAUAUGUUAUUCUAUAAUCACAUAUGAAAUUGUUGAACACAAACUGUUAGAACCGUUCUUACCGACUGUUCACUGCCAUUGCCAUGAUCGUCCCCUUCCUCCAUCAAUUCAGGGCCCAACAGCUCAUCCACUAAACGGAUGAGGCCAGUCGGGAGUAUUUUGUGGACAUUGAUGUCCCGUUAUCUGAAGGCCACCAGUACGUGCCAAUAGGGCACUUGAAAGAUCAGCCAGACUAGGGCUUAGGUGCUCAAGAAAAAAAGAAAAAAUUAAAAGAGAAUAGAGCCACUAGUGGCAUGAAGCGAAGGCGCACUGUUGCUGCUUUAGUGGAUGCAGCUUGGUCGCGUCGCCUGGUCAUUGAAAGUUGCCUCUGCAGAAAGCAUCAAGCAACUCCUGCAGCUUAAUGCUCUGCUGUCCGUUCCAGUAUAUGGCAUGAAUUCCGUCCGCAACAACCUUGUAUGGUCGUUUGAACACAUCGGGCAUUGGACCAAACUUCAGUUCGGUGAUAAGGCAGAACUCCUGCUUUGAUAUCCGCCCCUUGCUCUUACCAAUGGCAAACCAUAACUCGUGCUCCAUUGCCUUUGUCUCAUUGAUUUGACGAAUCAUGAUGUUAUGCAGAAGACCAGUGCUGAAGUAGCUUUAUGGAUCUACGUCCAGUAGCAUUCCAAAAUAUGUACACUUCACUGCAUCGUACUCCCCUUUCUCUUGGAGAGUCUUGUUGAUGUAAUGCAGUUGCGACCACUUACAGUGGGUGUUGAUAGCGACAUUGAAUGCCAACUUCUCCCUCGGCACAAGAAGCAAACUAUCAAGAUCUGUAUUCUGACCGAACUACACCUGCAAAAUAUGGCACACAUGCACGAGUGAGUUAACCCAUAAUGUGGAAACAAGGUAUAUUGAAGAAAGAAAUAAAUGUUGUUAAUUGCAAAGCAUAUCAAGUCAAAUGUCGUGACACGCCAUACAUAUCAAUGUCGUGACACGCCAUGCAUAAUAGUGUCGUGACAUGCCAAUCAUUGUAAUUACUGACUUGUUACACUAACAGCUGUGACACGUUAAAAACACAAAAUCAAUUAACCCACAACAUGCCAGGAACAACCGUGACACGCUAAAAACCCAAAAAUCUAGUUAACCCACAAUACGUCAGGAACAACCGUGACACGCUAAAAACCCAAAAAAUCAAUUAACCCACAACACUUUAGGAACAGCAGUGACACGCCAAAAACCAAAAAAUCCAAUUAACCCACUACACUCCAGGAACAACCGUGACACACUAAAAAUCCAAAAAACCAGUUAAUCCACAACAUGCUAGGAACAGCCGUGACACGCCAAAAAUCUAAUUAACCCACAACACAUCAUGAACAGUUGUGACACGCUGAAAAUUCAAAAAUCCAGUUAACCCACAACACGCCAAGAACAGCCGUGACACGCUAAAAACUCAAAAAACCAGUUAACCCACAACACCCCAGGAACAGCCGUAACACGUUAAAAACCCAAAAAACCAAUUAACCCACAACACGCCAGGAACAACCGUGACAUGCCAAAAACCCAAAAAUCCAAUUAACCCACAACACGCCAAGAACAACCGUGAGACGCUAAAAACCCAAAAAACCAGUUAACCCAUAAUACGCCAAGAACAACUGUGACACACUAAAAACCCAAAAACUGGUUAACCCACAACACGCCAUAUGCAAACGCGAAUCCCCUUCAACAAUUUGGUACGACCAUAAAACCAGGAAGAAAACAGUUUAAGCAAAGCAUAACAAUUUCAAAAAACACCAACAUAUCAAACCAACCCAGCAAAAAAUCAACGAAUAGAAGAAAGUUUUAAUUUUAGACUGACUGACCUCUUUACUGAUAACCGACAUUGUUGCUGUGAUAUAAUUAAUCUUGCAAAGAGCAAAGUUGAACUCUCUGCUACCUUUCGGAAUGAGGAAUGAAUGAAACUCUCUUACUUCCUUAAAAUAGACGUUUGCAAUUUCAGAAAAAUAUUUAAUUAAAAUGAAAUGACCUUUUAUAUUCAUUUCAGUCAUUCAAUGGAAUUCUAAACGCUUUCCUCGUCAUUUGCCAACCUUCUUUCACACCAUGGCGAGUCACAUAUUCAACCCAUGGCGUGUCACGUGUUCAAGCCAUGCCGUGUCACAUGUCUGACCAUGGCGUGUCUCACACUCUAAACGCUGUCGUGUCACACUCGUCUCACAUAUUCUCAUCGUGUCGUCUCACACAUUAUCACCCUAGCGUGUCAUAAAUUCCCUCUAUGGCGUGUCACACCCGUGUCACACAUUAUCACUGUGUCGUUGCACACAUUAUGACCUUGCCGUGUCACACGUUCUGACCAUGACAUGUCACACACUCCAAACACUGUCGUGUCACAUAUUCUCACCGUGCUGUCUCACACAUUAUCACCUUGCUGUGUCACAGAUUCCCUCCAUAGCGUGUCACACACUCUAAACCUUGUCAUGUCAAACCCGUGUCACACAUUAUCAAUGUGUUGUUUCACACAUUAUCACCUUAUCGUGUCACAUGUUCUGACCAUGGCGUGUCACACAUUCUAAACGUUGUCGUGUCACACCUGUGUCACAUAUUCUCACCAUGUCGUCUCACACAUUAUCACCCUGCCAUGUCACAGAUUCCUUACAUGACGUGUCACACACUCUAAACAUUGCCGUGUCACACCUGUGUCACACAUUAUCACUGUGUCGUUUCACACAUUAUAACCCUACCGUGUCACACCCUGUUACAUUCUCACCAUGCCGUCUCACACAUUAUCACCCUGAUGUGUCACACACUCUAAACCCUGUCAUGUCACACGUCUGACCAUGCCGUGUCACAAACUCUAUACCCUGCCGUGUCACACCCGUCUCAUAUAUUCUCACAAUGACGUGUCACACAUUGCCACCAUGUCGUGUCACAAACUCUAUACCCUGCCAUAUGACACCCGUCUUACAUAUUCUCACAUUGACGUGUCACACAUUCCCACCAUGCCGUGUCACACAUUCCCACCAUGCCGUUUCACAAACUCUAAACCCUGCCGUCACACAAACCAUAUGGCCUGUUGUAGCAUGACCAUUUCUUGCUUUGGAUUCACAUCUUUUUCCUUCGAUUCACCAUCAUAUUAGGGAUUUCUGAGUUCACAUCAUUCCCGAAGCUUUCGAUUCAUCACAAUCGGUUCCUCGUUCGAUUUAAUAUCACCUUUCGUAUUAUCUGAAUGUCAUGUCCGAAAUAUCUGAAAAACUAUCUCAUGCAAUAUUAUUUUGUUUUGCACAAGCUUCUAGAGAAAAAAUUGGAUGUUUUGUACAAAAGUAGAUAUUCGAAAAUUUUUCGUAUAUUUAUUUUUUAAUUUUUCGUAUAUUUGAGAGUACGCGUUAUCGAAGAUGUCUCAUCAAAGGUAUUUUUAUCUCAAAAUCUUUUCUGGUAAUUAAAAAUAAUUAAAUUUAUUUGGAAGAUUAUUUUUAAAAAGACUUUGUUUUCAAGGGCAAAAAAAAAAAAAUUCCCCUAAAGAUUAAUUCCGCGUGAUCAGUUGGCUUCAUUGACUAUUCCAGCAGCCGUUUCUUCUAAAAGUUUCUUAAUACUAAACUUGAAUUUUAUUGGUUGACCUAAAAGGUAAUUAUAUAAUACAAAUAUAAAAAUCUAUUUGCUUCGUUGGCAGGGACGAACUUUACUGUUUUUCCAUUCUUCUCUACUUCUUUGGCAAAAUGCAGAUCAAGAAACUGCCACUGUUUCAACUUCUGUCAUUUCUCCUCUUUCUUUCAAAUCUUCUCCAUUUCUCCCAUGCCGAUGUUGGCACUGCUGCCCGGUACAGCCCCCCGUAUUUACGUGAGUACCCUCAGGUUCAAUUCAAGCUGCAAAACCUUCAGCCCUUCACCAAUUUACUUCAUCUCUCAAUGCUUUCGCUCAAAACUUGUUUUUUGUUUUCCUUUGUGGAUUUGAUUAUUAUGUGCAGCGACGGCGUGCUAUGGUGAUGACCAAUCCCAGUUUCCGUCCAGCAAUUUGUUCGCAGCAGCUGGAGAUGGGAUAUGGGACAAUGGAGCAUCGUGUGGGAGGCAAUACUUGGUGAGAUGCAUCAGCGCUUCAGAGCCUGGAACUUGUGUCCCUGACCAGACUAUCCAGGUCAAGAUUGUUGAUUAUGCUCCCAAUGCACAGUCUCCACCUUCGGCUCAAUCCACCAUUGUCCUAUCCGAGACGGCUUUUAGUGGAAUAACAAAUAUAGCAAUUGACUCCAUCAACAUAGAAUUCCAACAGUAAUUCCAUCUCCUAAAUAUAUAUUGCUCUAUGCAAGAUUUUCUUUUUUUAAUUUAUUCAUUGUUAAUUUCCUUCUGUUUUUCCCGAUAUUGAAAGUUUCAGACUUCUCUGCUUCUUCGUACAGGGUAUGAUACAGGGGGUCUAGUCUCUAUGAAAUUACAUGCGUACCCUUGCGUUCACGGCAGGGCCGGGAAGAAGGAAACAUGAUCUGCUAAUCACUUGGAAUAGUCAGAAAGAAAUUUGAUUGGUUGAAUGAGACUCUUCUUUGUCAUUGUCAUUACUAAAUGUUUAUGGCAUUAUCCAUUACUCUUCGUUAAUGUUCAUAUGCAUUUUGAUAAAUAAAAAAAAAAGGAUCCUUUCAUUGUCAUGGCUCUUUAGCGUGUGCUUCUCGCCUUCGGAAGCUUCCGCUUGAACUAGACAUUAUGGCGUAAAUUAUACCUAAAAACCUU